rnacentral:lncRNA from 1 species
CCAAAGUUGUUUUCCCGAUACCUCCCAUCCCUACGAUUGAGACAACUUCUAGUUCCCUUCCUCCUCUAGCAAGUUGAUCCAGCAUCAUCUCAAAUUCAUUUUCACGGCCAACCAUUAUAUUCUCGGGCUGCUCAACAUCAUGUUCAGGUAAACUGACAAGUGAGCUAGUUUGUGGUUUUAGAUCUUUCAUGCUGUCCGAUGCUGCCAUCCACUGUUUCACGGUGGAAUCAAUGCAUUCUAGUGCUUGUUCCAAGACGAAAAAAAUCUCCCACAUAGCCCUGCUUCUUUCCUCCAAAUUCUGUGCUAAAAAAACAUUUCUUGAUUCCGAGUCAACCAUAUCUUCUGUUGUGUAUGCUACCUCUACGAUUUCAACUUCCAAGAUUGUUAACUCCUCAUGAUCGCCCGUUAUAUUGCAGGAAUUCUCCAGAAUAGUUCUUAAAGAUUCGAGCUUUUCAUAAAACGGUUGCAAAUCACAUCCAGUAAGUUCCAUUGAUUGAUGUAUGGUUCUCAUAAGGGAAGUAACAGCAGCAUAAGCCAUAUAUCCAAAAAAUAGAAAUAUCUCUCAGUAUGAAAAUGGACAAAUUGCCACAAGUCAUGUAAUUUUUCAGUUUUUAAGAAAACAGAAAAUGCAAACUUCUUUCUUUUACUAGGCUAUUUCCAUCACAUUUCCAGCUAGGUCCACCAACCUUAUCAUCAUGUAGACAAAAGCAGAGACCAAAGUUUAAAAAAAGAAAAAGAAAAAAAGACAGGAUUCUAACUGGAAAAAGUUGAAAAAAUUGUGACCAUUCAUUAUUAUACCUUACACUUAUCUAUUCAUGAAUAUAAGUAGGGAAAAGGGCCUCAUUUACCCUGAACUUUAUGAUUUGGAGCUGAUAUACCCUUCGUUUAAAAAAUGGCCCAUAUAUGCCCCUGCCGUUAUAGAAAUGGCUCAUAUAUGCCCUUUUACUUAACAGACCAAUAUUUAAUAAAUUAAAAAUUCAUUUUUUUAUGCUUUAAUUUGAGAAAAUGCCACGUGGCUCUUAAAAUACCCCACCCAAUAACUUUUCAGCAACCCGACCCAAUGGAAACAAGAAAACCCCAUCCACUUAAAUAAACCUAGCCCAUUUCAUUCUAUGGUCUCCACUCUCCACGCUUGACAUGAAAAAAAAUCAAAAACUUGUUAGGGUUUCAGUGAGCUCUAAACUGGUGUCAAUCAAUCUCAAUAAUGUUCAAAAUCUUAGGUAAGUUUCGAUUAUUUUCUUCCCUUACUUUUAAGGAUCUUUGGUGUUAAAAAUAUAGGAUAAUAUGUGAGAAAAGUGUAACUGAGUUUACCUAUGUGCUUUUUUCCCUUGACAUUCUGUCCAUGGAAGGUUUAUUUUCUUACUUUAAUACAUGAGUUUAUCUCUUUGUAUGCAGAGAUGGAAUCUUUGUUGGUCCCCAAAUAGUUAUUGUCUCUUUAGUAUUUUAAAAUUCAUUUUUCAAUUGGUUGGUGUUAAAUGCUAAGGUGGUCCCUUAUGUCUAAUUUAUUUGCUUGUUGCAGGUGUCAUUUUGAAGGAUGAUUAAAGAAGUGGAUAUUGUUUUCAACUAUGGGGGCAAUAGGGUAAUUUCCCCAAAGCUGGGAUACAAUAUAAAAUUUCAGCACACCUGGUAUUAUAAUACUUGUUUAGUUUGUUAUGAUGAUUUGUGUGAAGCUUUUACUUCCAAAUUUGGAUUUAAGGAAGUUCAACAAUUGUUGGUCACUGGUCCAUCUGGUACUUAUUAUGUAAUUGAAGAUAAUGAUGGAAUUAAGACUCUUCAAUACUUAUUUUCAGAAGAUUUCAAGGUAAUAGAUUUUUAUGUUGUAGAUGCUCAUGAAUUGAGAGUUUCUGCCACAAAUAUCAUAUAUCAUACUGAAUCAUAUUUUGUGGAUGUUGAAGCUGCUACUGAUUGUGAUUAUAGUGAUGUGGAGGAUGAUACUCUUUAUGAAAUGGGCAACAGUUGUGAAAUUGUUGAAUAUAAUGUUGAAGUGCUUCAACGUUAUGAACAUGAAAAAGAGAGAGUUGUGAGUGAUGGACUUGAAAAGUUUAAGGAAUUAGAAAUGGGUAUGACCUUUAAGACUAUUGAAGAACCUAGGCAGGUUGUUAGCUUUUAUGCUAUGGCUAACAAAAGAAGUUGAAAACAAAAAAAAGUGAUACAAAAAGAAUUAGGUAUGAGUGUUAUGAUGGUUGUCCCUUUUACUCUUCUCAUAUCUAAGGAUGGAAAAUCAGCAACAUUUAAGGUUAAAACAUUGAUGCCUAAGCAUACUUGUGGUGAUUCUUUUGUUAAUCCAUUGGAAACUUAUCAUACCUUGGCUGUUUAUUUUAAGGAUGAAGUUCUAAACAAUCCAAAAUACCCUAUCAAAGACAUGAGAGGAAUUCUUGAAAAAAAAUUCAAGUUGAAUGUCUUAAGAUCCAAACUAAAAAGAGCCAAAACAAUGGCUCUUGAUAAGUUGGAAGGCAGUUUCAAAGAUGACUACAAUAGGCUUGAAGCUUAUGGUCAAGAACUUAGACAAUCAAAACCAGGAUCUGAUGUGGUAAUUAAUAUCUCUAAAGAUGCACUUGAACAAGGCAUAAGAAGGUUUUUGAGAAUGUACAUUUGCUUCAAGGCUUUGAAGGAUGGAUGGAAAAGUUUGAGACCUAUAAUUGGUUUAGAUGGAACAUUUCUCAAAGGAAAAUGCAAGGGGCAACUAUUAGUAGUUGUUGGGCAAGACUCAAUGAAUCAUUUUUACCCAAUAGCUUGGGCAGUGGUGGAAAAGGAAAACACAGGAACAUGGACAUGGUUUAUUCAGUUGUUGAGGAUUUCGUUGGAGUUGAAAAAUGGUGAAAUUGUGACAUUUAUGUCUGAUAUGCAAAAGGUAGCUUUAAAUUUAUUUUUUUCUUAUUGCCUUUUCUUUAUCUUUUUUCUUACUGUCAUUUUUUUCUUUUCGAUUUUUAGGGCCUGUUCGAUGUUGUAGCUAAUGUUGUUCCAGAAGCACACCAUAGGCUUUGUGUGAGGCAUAUAGAAUCUAACUGGUGCAAGAAAUGGCGGAGUGGUGAAGAGAAAAAAUUGAUGUGGUGGUGUGCAUGGAGUACCUAUGAAGAAGAAUUCAAAGACACUUUGAAGGUGUUAGGAAAGGUGGAUGAAGAUUCAGCUAGUGAUCUUCUUCAUUUUCCUGUAAUUAAAUGGUGUAGGGCAUAUUUUGAUACUCAAUGUAAGAAUCUAAUGGUAGACAAUAACUUCACCGAGUCUUUUAACAGUUGGAUACUUGAAGCUAGAAAAAACCAAUCAUUAAAAUGUUGGAGGAAAUUAGAGUGAAGGUGAUGAAUAUGUUGGUGAAAAAUGAAAAAAUGGGCAGAAAAUGGCAAAAUGAUAUCAGUCCAACGGUUAUGAAAUUGUACAAUGACUAUCGAUUAAUGGCUACCAAUGGUACAGUUGAGUUCAAUGGAGAUUAUGGUUAUGAAGUGAAAGAUGGAGACACGGACACACAUACAGUGAAUUUGGAGUUGAAGAAAUGCAUUUGUAGAUUAUGGGACUUGGGUGGAAUACCGUGUCACCAUACCAUCAAGGCAAUUUUGCAUAAAAAAACUGAACCAUUGGAAGAGGUUCAUUACUGCUAUAAAAAGAGGCUUAUUUGUUAACAUACAAGCACAAGUUGCAACCAGUUAGGGGUUCUCAAUUCUGGAAAAUCGACCAUGCUCAAGCAAUGGAACCUCCGAAAAUGGUAAAACUUGUUGGCAGACCCAAGAUGAAAAGAAAUAAAGAAACUGAUGAGGCAAGUUUGAGAAAGGGGGCAUGGAAGCAGUCAAGAAAAGGAACUCUAAUGAGAUGCAACAAAUGUGGUGAUUUCAAUCACAAUGCUAAGGGAUGUUAUAAGGUAAUCUCUCUUAAUAUUUUCUUUUAGUUAAAAGGUGUUCAUUUUUGUCAAUCACAACAAUUUUUUUGGGUUGAAGGACCAUGAAGACGGUGAAAGUUAGCAUGAAAGAAAUAAGAAAGCAAGCAAUCAAAAGUCGAGGAGUUGAGCAAGAAAAAACUCUAUUGUAGAGUAUGAGACAGAAGCUUCACCCCAACAAUUUCAGACAAAACAGUCGACUGCCUAUGGUCCUAAGAUCGGGAAUGAUGAAGAUCCAGCAUUGCGACCAAUGGUAAUUUUUGAGACAGAAACAAGGAUGGAAAAGAGGUCUCGAAUAUUUGAAGGAAUAGGAAGCAGGAAGAUUGUUUUUUAAGGGGAUGCAAGAGGAAUCUCGACCCCUUCGGAUCUACCAUAUUCACCAAAGAAGACUACUUGAAAGGGCAAGAAAGCAGUCACAAUUGAUCAGUUACAAGCUGAAGUAAAGAAGAAAAGAGUGAAACAAAUGGCAAUGAAGGGCAAAUGGCCCGUGGAUACUAAUGAUGAUCUAGUUUAGAAGUCGUUGUGUGGUUGAUCAUUUUUUGACAUUAGGUGGUUAUUUUGGAUAGUAUUAUAUGAUGUAAAUCCAAACAAUUUCUUUUGUUGCUAACCAUAUAAUAGAUAUUUGUGGUUGGUUUAACCACCAGAAGGUUAAUCUUCUUUUGCUGGUAACUUGUGUUAAGAUAAUUUUAUAAAAAUUGAGAAUUAUAUUCUACUGCAUCUGGUGUAAUUAUUGUUGAUUGUAUUUUGUGUGAGAGAGUAAAUUUAUGUGCUUUGAUUGGUAGCGUUGUUUAAAUUACGACUAAAAUUAGCAUUGUUCACGAUCUUCUUUGAACUAGUAGAUAGCUCACAGAUGAUUCAACGUGGAAUGUCAAGGAGUCAUUGAUGAUUCUCUAUCAUUUUACCUCGAGCUUUUGAUUCUCUUUCAUUACUAAAUAAUACAAAAGUUGACAAAAUCACUACACAAGACCAAAUAAGGUGAAUCAAAAGUUGUCAUAAAUCAAUACAAUGAACCAAAAGUUAAUUACACAUAAGUCACAAAACUGCAAAUGAGAUGAAAAAGUUUAGUCGCAUAAUAUGGCCUUGGAAUCUAUCAUUUAAAUUCCCAGAAAAGAUAUGAUCCUACAAAGUACUACUAUAUUUCCAAAUUUUACAAACUUUUUGCCUCAGUGAGUGAAGAAAAGAACCCAACUAAGCAACUGAAUGUAAAAUAACUUCAAACUUUUCUCUCGAAUUUUAAGAUUUCAUAAACGCAAUGACUCCGUCCACAGUUCGUUCGCGAACACUCUGAAUAUGUGGUGUGACGGCCAAUAAAACUUCAGCAGACUCUUGAUUUUCACUUGUAGCUGCAAGAUGUAUUAGCAUGUAAUUAUCACUGACAGUAUCCCCUGCCUUUACCACACAACGAAAGAAUGAACUGCCGCAACUGCUAGCAGAGGACACAUAUUAUCAUCUCCUAUUUGAGCAUCAAAAUUAGCAUGGUGUUUUAGCAAAACCGUAAUAGCAUCUUCCUGGCUGCGGUCUACAACGCAUAUUAAUGGUGUUCCAACAUCAACAUCACUUCGCAAAUCAACGUCUACACCUAUCGGUAGAAACAAUUUAACCAAUUCAAUAUGCCCAUUUCCUGCAUCAUUAAAUGGACAAAAUAAAACACAUAAGAAUAUCACUUCAAGCAAAGAAUAUCAAGAACAAAUUUACCCUAUAACUCUAACACCAAAGGUCCUUAAAAGAAAAGGGAAGAAAGUAAUCGAAACUUACAUAAGAUUUUGAACAAUAUUGAGACUGAUUGACGCCAAUUUAGAGCUCACCGAAACCUACCAACAUUUUGAUUUUUUUUCUUGUUGAGCGUGGAGAGUGGAGACCAUAGAAUUAAAUGGGUUAAAGUUUAUUUAAGUGGGUGGGGUUUUCUUGUUUUCAAUUGGGUCGGGUUGGUGAAAAGUUAUUGGGUGGGGUAUUUUAAGAGCGAUGUGGCAUUUUCUCAAAUUAAAGCAUAAAAAAAUGAAAUUUAAUUUAUUAAAUAUUGGUCUGUUAAAUAAAAGGGCAUAUAUGGGCCAUUUCUAUAACGGCAGGGACAUAUAUGAGCCAUUUUUUAAACGGAGGGUAUAUCAGCUCCAAAUCAUAAAGUUGAGGGGUAAAUCAGGCCCUUUUCCCAUAUAAGUAUGUUUCUUACAUACAAGAGAUUGAUGAUUUUAAUUCCAUUGAAAGCUACUUAGUAGAAUUUUCCAAAUCAAAGAGAGAGAAAUAUUAAGAUCCAAGUAGGAAUUUCUCUAUUCCUAGUUCGAUUCAAUUAACCAAGCAUAAAUAUCUCUUAAUAUACAAGAGAAGUUUAGACUCUAAAAGUCAAAUCAACAAAAUAUUGAUGGGCUAACACAUGAAAAACUACUGAGAAAAUCGCCUAAUUCCUGUAAAUUGUCCCUUAAAUACCCAAAAUGGACUCUAAAAAUUGUUAGAAUGUACGUAUUGCUCCCCCAACUCCCUACUGAGGGUUUUGUAAAGAUUUCGAUUAGAAAUCGUCCAUAAGUCAUAUCACUAAUAUAUUAAUGGUUAACACACACGACAAACUGAGAAAAUUAUCUAAUUUCUUUAAAUUGGCCCCUAAAUGCCUAAAAUGGACUCUAAAAGUUGUGAGACUGUACAUACUGCUCCCCCGACUCCCUACAGAGGGUUUCGUAAAUGUGUAGCAAAGAAAUCGUCUGAAAGUCAUAUCACUGAAAUAUUAAUGGGCUAACACAUACAAAACACUGAGAAAGUCGCCUAAUUCCUGUAAAUUGGAAUUCUAAAAUUGUGAGACUAUACGUAUUGCUCCAUUAACUCUCUAUGGAGGGUUCCGUAAAGAUUUCACAAAGAAAUUAUUCGAAAGACUUAUCACCAAAAUAUUCAUGGGCUAAUACAGACGAAUUGAGAAGAUCACCUAUUUCCUAUAAAUUAGCCGUGGGAUACCUAAAAUGGACUCUAAAAAUUGUGAGACUAACUCCCUACGAAGGGUUCCAUAUAAGUUUCGCAAAAGAAAUCAUUCAGAAAUCAUAUCACCAAAAUAUUUAUGGAUUAACACACACGAAAAAUUGAAAAAAUCGCCUAAUUCUUUUAAAUUGGCCCCUUAAUCCCUUUACGAGAUUAAUUAGAGAUGCGCGAGCGCGCGCACACACACACAUACACACACAUAUAUAUAUAUAAAGAAGAGAAGCUAGUUGUAGGGUUUGAUUGCCAUAAAAUACUUAGACAAUGUGGGUGACGCACAUUGUGAAUCUCAUGAAUUGACUCGUGGAUCAUUGUGAUAUUGGCCCAUGAAACUUAGUCUUAGGGAAAGAUUGUUGGGUGUGAGAUUGAAUUUCCACAUUUGAGAAGCUAUAUAUAAGGUGUAGGAUCUCUUAAGGGAAAAUUUCAUGUAUGGAAAACGUAUUUAAUGAAAUAACGCUCUAUAGGUAUAGUUUAGUAAUUACAUUCAAUGGGUAGUUUAGUUUGCUAUGAAGCAUUAAUUUUGUAUAUAAUGUUUUUUUUAAAAAUAAUUUAUACAAUAUUUUUUUUAAUAAAUGGAUACAUGAGCGCUAAAUACAGUAACAAAAAAUUUACAUAAUCCCAUGAUUCAAGCUAAUCGUUCAAAAUCAAAUAUUUUUCCAAAAAAGAGUUCUAUAGCAAUAGAAACACCAUAACAGCUGGUUUCCUCAAACGACUGAAGCAUACGAUUAAUCAAUAUUCUUGUAUAUUCAACACCAGGUAAGCGUUUCUUUCAAGGAAACUUCAUGUUUUGAACGGCAAGAAAGUAUACAAUUGAUUUGUAUAGUAUAUAAUUGAAAUUUUGGAAAACGGAUUAUUUUUGUUUUGUUCAUUCUAAUGGUUCGCAAUAAUUUAAUUUUGUUUAUACAAUAUUAGAUAAAUUUUAUAUUAACAAUUCAAUUCUAAUUUUUUGUUCAAAAAAUUGAAUGACACAAUUUGUAUAUAUGAAGUGUAUAUGAUUCGACAACAAUGGUGUGCUUUAAUUUGCUAAUUUUUGUUGUUGUUGUUGUUGUAAUUUUACUGUAUAAAUAAGUUAUACGAUUUGUAUAUUGUUUAAUUGGUAAUAUUGUAUAUAUGUAAGUAAUUGUAUACAAUUAUUAUACCAUAAAUAAGUGUAAGUAGUUGUAUAAAAUUACUAUGACAAUUAUAUAUAUGAAUUGUAUAUGAUUCAAUAAAAAAGGUGUGCUUUAAUUUGAUAAUUUUUGGUGUAACCUAAUGUUGACACCCAUUUUUGGACCUCCACAAUAUAUAUUAAUUCUCGAGCUUCUUAGAUUUCAAAUGAUUUGGAGUUAUUAGUUUAUAAAAUUUAAAUAUUUUUUAAAAAGAUUUUUGAAGCGAUUUAGUCGGCUUUAUAAUAUUUUAGAUAAUAGAUGGAUUUUACAUAAUUACUUAUAUAAUCAACGUGUAUUAUUAGCAUUUGGAAAUCAUCUUGAAAUAUUUUGCAUUUUUUAAAAUUAACUAUGUUAUUAAUUUAGUUUAGUAUAAAUUAAAGUUAUGAUUCUGAGUUAUUUGAAUUAGUUAGUUUAUAAUUAAAUUGUUUAUUUUAUUUUUGUUAAGAUUAAGAAGCUUGUUAAUUAAUUAAUAACAAUUCAUCUUAUUUAGACUUUGGCCGAAUUCACCAAUUAAUCCCAAUUUGGCUAAGUUUUAACUCUGAAUGGUUAUAAUCGUAAUCCAUUUAGCCCUUCUUGAUAUUGCAAUUUUAACCAUUCUCUAACCUUACCUCUAGCUUAUUUAAAUAAUCACCAAGGGGCUUUUAUCCUUGAUUACAUUUUCAGCAACACCCAAGCCCAUUUUUCCAUCAGCGUACAAUUAUUUCCAGCCAAUAAACUCCAGCAGUCCAUACCCACCCUCCAAUUCCCAUUACAGCAUACAACAAUUCCCAGUGAUUCAAACAUACACGUAGAGCAGCACCAACCGACCCCAUCCCCUUUAUUUCGCUCAUCUCCUCGUCCGUUUCAAAGUAAUAUUCUGGUGUUUGGAAGCAUCUGUUCUGUGAUUGUUCGUUGUUAUUUUUCAUAGGAUUGAUGAUGUUUUUAACGUAUUAAAUGUACACUUAAUUGUUUCCAUCAGUUAGUCCUAAUAUGGGGUCAAGUUCCGGAGAGCCAUUAAAGUUUUAUUUUGUUGUAUUUCUUUUCUUGAGCCUGCUCCUCGAACAUCGUCGAAUCUAUGUUCUUUUCGCUUUAGCAUCUUGAAUAUUGAAAGUUCCAUUCACUUUAUUACUGCUAAUGUUCUCUGUUCUUCCUUUGAGAUGAGGAAAAAUCUUCCGUACAAAUUGUAUGUUGUUGUAGCUGCUGUUCGGUAGGCAUAAGUGGUUAUUUUCUUCUUGAUUAAAUUUCAUGGCCGUCCUAUUUUGCAUUGCGAAUGUGUAACUGUUUAUUUGGUUUUUAUUCCUCCUCAUUUUCAGCAUAUUUCCAUAAUUUUGGUUGAGUGUAUUGCUUAUUCUAACUUGAAGCUAAAUGUUUAUAAUAAUUUCGUUGGUUGUCUGCUUAAAUGUGGGCUGAAUAUCAAUACUAUUCUUUCUAAAUGUUAAGUUAUACUCGUUCUUUUUGGUUUUUUUUCUUCCGAGGAUUUGCUUUCGACUAUAGUUCUGUUUCUUUUGUGCGUGUGUUUGGAGGUCGGCAUUUGGUUUUAUGCCAGCCUAGUUUUACAUAUCUCUUUUCACUUUCAUGGAAACCUUUGAUGUUAUAGCUCUACUUGUCGGAUUAGGUUUAAAAAAAUGAAAUGCAUCUUUGUUCUUCUCAAAUUUGUUCCAUGUUUUCUUGGUUUUUUAAAAAAAAUGGUAUAGCUGAUUAAAAUAGCAUUAGUUUAGCUCGAGAUUUCCUUAAUACCGUGUUGCUAUUUAUUCUAUCUCGCAUCUUAUAACUCGAUAUUAUUUGUCUUGGGUUCUUUGUGGCUUUUAUUUCGAAAGUUUUGCCUUGCUAUCGUGUCAAUUUUCGUGCUUGUUGUUUGUAGCUGCUUGAGAAAAUAUGAAUGACCACUUUAUAAAAAAAAAAAAAAAAGGAGUUAGAAUCAACAAUGGGUUGCUGUUUGAAUAAUUGACCUUCAGCUUAUUUUGCUCAAAUGUUAAGUCACGUAUGUUCCCAAACACGGUUCGUAUACAAUGGUACACGUGAUGUGUAUACACAGAUUUCUUGAAGGAAAAUGGGGGGCAAAAGCCCAAGGAAAUUUCAGCAAGUCCAAGAUUUGGGCCUAAUUUGAUAUUCCUCUCCUUGCUCUUAUUUAUUUUGUUAUAUUUGACUAACGUUUUGAUUAUCUUAUGAUUUAAUCUAAUUAAAUUUUCCAAGAAUGGUCAUUUCAUUUUAUUUUUCGAAUUAAAGUAUAUAUAUUUUAUUACUUAGUUUUUAUUUUAAUAUUUGUCUUGUUGACAUUUUAUGAACUAUUUCCCUUUAGAAAAUUCUCCUUUAGUUCAUUCCCCCUUAAGAUAAAUAAAAUGAUAAAAAUAAUAGUAAUAAAUAAAUGAGUUCAUUUACUUAGCUAAAUUUUUUUUUAAAUAAGUUAAAAUAAAUGAGUUCUUUUACUUAGUUAAAAUUUCAAAAAUUAGUCAAAGUCGUUAUGAGCUCUUUUAUACUUAGUUAAAAUUUCAAAAGUUAGUCAAAGUCAUUUUUAGUCAAAUCGUCGGUCAACCGCAAGUUAGCGGACAUUUUGAGGGCCUAACACCUUCUCGGAAUGUACAUUGAACUCGAACCCUUUUUCAAUUGAUUUUAUCUGUUUGAGUAUUUUGAAAAUCUUAAGUUUUUUCUUGAGUUUUACUAAAAAAAUUAAGUGGCGACUCUAUUCUUUUGGAAAUCGAUUUCUCUUAAACUACAAGUUUAAUCGAUUUUUUCGAAAUCCUAGUCAUUUUUCUUUUAUAUAUAUUUUCGAGUAAAACACCUAACUGUAUAUAUAAUAAUGUAAGGUUUGUAUAUUGUUUAAUUCAUACUAUUGUAUAUAACUUACAAAAUAUACAAAUAUAUAUAUAUAAUACAAUUAUGAUUUAAGCAAAAAAUAUACAUAUACUUCAAGCAAUUUUGUAUAUAACUAACAAAAUAUACAAAUAUCUAAAUACAAUUGUGAUUUAAGCAGAAAAUAUACAUAUAUUUCAAACAAUUUUGUAUAUAACUAACAAAAUAUACAAAUAUCUACAUACAAUUGUGUUUUAAGCAAAUAUUUGAUGUUCUUGAUCUAAUGAAGGAGACACAACCUCCUCAGAAUCACUAUCUUUGGCUUUCCUCGUACUUCCUCCUUCAACAACUUUAAUGUCGCUUGCCUUAACAUUGUUGAUGACUUCUGGGAGUGCAAUUGGGUCAUUUUUUUUCUUGGAUCUCAAUUCUUCAAUAGAUUUUUCCUGUAGAAUUUGUUUAGAUUUUUCCAUAGACCCUGCAUUGACUCCAAAAUCUUGAGUUAAACCGAGUGAAAAUGAAGGUUGAUUAUUAAAAACUUUGACAUGCAAUGACGUACCUCUCGCAAUCCUCUUAGAUGGAGUCGAAUCAUCCAUUUUAUUUUUUGUAAAAAUGAUAUAUAAUAAGUAAUGAGGGAAUUUUGAGAAAAAAUUAUCCAAACACUAACAUGCACAAUACAUAUACAAUUGAAAAAUGAAAAAGAAAAAAAGAAAAGAGGUUCACCUACGAUUUAUGCGGUUACCUGCAAAAAGUAAAACACGAUUGGAGGGAGAAAGUGAAAUUCGAAUUUCAAAUUGAUUUUAGGAGAAAAACAGGAAAUGAGGAGAGGAGAGGAGAGGAGAGGAGAGGAGAGAUAAAUUUAAUUUUGUAUAAAAUCAUAUACAAAGACCGAUGAAGGCUUUGUUGAUUCGGUAUACAAAGUGGUGGUGGGUCUCAUUAUUAAUGGCGAAAAAACUGAAAUUGUAUUUACUAACAGUAAAUAAAUUAAAUUAUACCCUCAAUGACUAAUAGCCUAGUAAUAUUUGCCAACUCACUUAAUUUUUCCAUAAUGUGUGAGACUUUUUGAAAGAAAAAAAAAUUGUGCUAACUUGGUUAAAGUGAACAAUUAUCAUACUCUAUUUAGAAUAUCUUUGGGCUAAUUUAUCCGAACAAAAACAAAUAAGUCCCCAAUCUAAGACCAUUAGCCGUUACUUGAAGACAAGACAUUCAUCAUUUGAACUAUUGAAUUAUGGACACAAGUCAAAGAAUCUUCCAACUAUUCAAGAAGUGUAAUUAAUACUUAAUAAAUAUAAUGUCAUCCUCAAUAACUUCAAAUAAUAUCCAAUAAUCAAUAUUAAAUUUUGAUAUUAAUAGAAAUAGUUAAUGAACCCCAAGUUGUAUAAUUUGAUUGUUGGGAUAAAAGAUAAAAGUCAAUCAAAAAUUUAAUUUUUUUAAGAAAUAAUCUUUUAAUUGUGAUUCAAUAAUGUAAUAACACAAGCAAUUACAAUACAUAUAAAUUUGCCAUGUCAGCAUAUGGUGUUCAUGAGUGCGUGUAUGACAAUAGUAAAAGUAUCUAUUUGGUCUUUUAGAUAAAUUUCAGUAUCUAAAUUACAAUUUUUGUCAAAUUUGAGGGAUUAUCUAGAUAUUUAGAUAAAAUUAUUUAUAUAUAAUUAUCUCUAAAUAGGCUCAUAAGCCAGUAAAUGAUACUUUAUAAAUAACUUCAGUUGUAAGUGUUUCUCUUACAAAUUCAAAUUAAUCCAAUGACAAAACCUUUUUAUGAUUUGACUGAAGAGGUUUCUGUGUUGCUGGUAUAUCAAGAUGAGGAAUUGGUUUCUAGUAAAUCAAAUGGUUGAUUUACUAGAGUUCAAUGGAUACAAAGGUGAUAUAUCUAGAACUAAUUUCUAUAUGACUUUCAUUAUAUAGAGAGAGAAUUAAUUGAUACGAUGUUUAUUUAGAACUUUUCCUUUCCUUGUUAUCAUAACAUUAUUUCUAUGCUUGUGUAUGUUGUGUUACAAGUUAAUAAAUGAAUUUGUAUGAUUAUAAGGAAUUAAAUUAGAUUCUUCAUUUUUGUUUUUGUUGUAACCAUGUCACUGACUCGAUUAGCUUUCUCCAUAAGGAUUGUGUAAUUUUUCAAAGAGGUUCAAUAAUUUUAUGUUAAAGUAUGUGUUGUUCUAAUUUUAUCGGAUAUUUUUCCAUAAAGGAGAUAGUUUAAGUUUAUGUUAAUAUUAAUUAUUUCACACUUGACUUUUUUGUACAAAAAAUAAAAAGGAAACUUAUUCUUUGUCAAUCGGGCCUAGAGUGACAUCGUGUUGGAGGAGAAAAUAAUUAGGACCCUCAUAAAUAAUUUUGAAAUCAUAGAUCUUUGAUUUUUACAAAUCUAUAUAUUGUUUUAGAAAGAAAACACAUUCACUUGGAUGAUUGAGGCACAAAAUAAGAGUAAGAGAUUGAAGAGAAGAGCGAGAUAAAGACAUGAUAAGAGAUGAUUUGGCUAUCAUUAUUGUCUGAGAUGACUUUUUUUUGUCUUUUAUUCAAUGUAGACAAACAAAUAAAUAGGGACAUGUGAUUUUCAUGAUUUUUUUCUUCUAUUUUUUUUUUUUGUCUUUUAUUAGAUGUAGACAAGAAAAGAAAUUUUUUUCAUGUGACUUUUCCUCAUUUAUUUUUGUUUCAUUUUCAAUUACUUUGUUAGUAUUUAAUAUCGAUUGUUCCUUAUUCAAGCUAUGUUAAAUAUUUUUAACAUAAUUUUUUUGGUAACUCCUUUCUAAUAAUUUGUUAAAUCUUCUAAACUCUCGUUACUUAUUUAUGAAAUAAAAUUACCUUAAAACUUUUUACAUAAAUUUAUCUUAAAACUUUUUAUCCUAUUAUAUCUUGCUUUAAUAGUAUUUAAUCUAUAUAUAUAUUCAGUGUUUAUUUGUUUUCAACAAGUCAAAGAAUAAAUUAGAAUAUAUUCUUUAGAAUUAUAUUCCUAUAGAAUCUUCUCUAUUAUAUAUUCCUACAGUUAUUUACUGUAAAGUAAUAUUAUAUAUUAGUAAGAUUGCACACACCGUUUACGAUAUAAGUUGAUUAAUAUGUGUUAUUUCAUAAAUUAAAGUAUAGCAACAUAAUAUGAAAUUUCAUAAUUGAAUUUGAAUGAGAAAUUAAAUAAACAUAUCCAAAUGAUAAUUUUGUGUAUAAUAUUUUUUUCAUGUUCUUCACUAACUUUAAAGUGUAUGGAUAUAUACAGUUACGACAGCUACAACUCCUGCAGCAAUGUCAAUGCUCUCCAAAGAAAAGAAAAAAAUUGACAUGAUGAUAAUCGAUGUCAAUUCAUCAGAUUUACAUUGUUUUGAACUCUUGACACAAGCUGUAACCUUAAAUAUAAUCUCUCUUGGUAAGUAUUUAUAAUUCUAUUUUUCACUUCUUGUUAUAAAUAUUGGGUAAAAUCAGUUGUUUCAAUUAAUACACCACAAAAAUAUAAUUAGCUAUAAAAUUUAUCGUUAAUCUAUUGUCAAGAGACGACAUCUAUCCAUUGGUAAUCUUGUUUUUAGUUAUAGUUAUAUGAUAAAUGAUUGUUUCGUAACAAAGUUGUUGUCGUAACAGAUAAAAUUCAGUAAAUAUAUGUGUGAAAUUAACUAUUCUCAUAAUGUAUGAUAUAUUUUUAUUUUUAUUUUUAACUUCUCAAUAUAAUUAUGUAGUUGUAUGUGAUGAACUCAAUAGACUCUUAGCCAAGAACGCUUUGGAAAAUGGAGCUUAUUUUGCUUGAAAAAGCCAUUCAACAAGGAAAUUGUGAAAUACUUAUGGCAACUUGUAUUGAGAGAAAAAAUACAAAGGGAGAAAUCGAAAAAAGGUUUAGAAGCAAAUGGACGAAAUCAUAUGAAUGCUGAUGAAAUUUAUGAUAGUAAUAUUGUAAGAGAUGAACAAUUUGGAGAGAAGAAUAUGCAUGUUGAUACUGAGGAACAUAACAAUAAUAUCCAUAAGGCUGAAAAUGAUGGCGUAUCAACUGGUAAAUACAAGUUGAAGAGGAAGAGAGGGAGAAAAGGUAUAAAACAGAUUAAUGAAGGAGAAAGUCGUAGCAGUACUGUUAUUAAUAAGACUGGUACACGUAAAUGACUUGUAUCAUGCAUUUUAAACAUACAUAAAUGACAAUGAAUUUGAGAUAAUAAUUAUAUCCAUAGUCCAACUCUCCUUUGAGUUUUUCUUUCUUUCAGAAAUGUCGUGAAAACAAUUGGAGACCUCGAAAAGAGAGAAAGAAUAUUCAUCACGGAUCCUCAAGUGAUUCUCAACAAAGAAGUAGUUGUAACACAUCAUUAGAAAGAAAAAAAAGGAGCUGCAAAAAACUUGGAAAAAUGCCUCAUCUUCAAACAAAUAUACCAAAUCAAAUACAAAGAGUCUCAGAGUUCCCACCAGUUAAUACCAACAACAUUUUUGCUAUUUCAACUCAGCAGCAACUCCAUCACCCACAACUUCAGGCUCAACCUCACUGCCUAAACCCAUCUUUGUCAGCCCAAAAUGAUGUUGGUGGUCAACUACAACAACACAGUCUGUUAUUUGGAAUGCGGGUCCAAUUAUUGGAAGCACUCAAAAUGGUUAUGGCUUGGAUCUCAAUCCUACCCAUGUAACAACAUAUUCAGGUAGCACAAUGAUAACUAAUACAAAUGUUGGAAAUGUGACACUUAAUGGAUUGGGAGCUACAAAUGCUAAUUUUCAGCAAGAUAUUGGUGAACAAAACAUGUUUGAUCCAAGUUCUUGCUCUCGUAAUAUUUGUAUCUUAACUUAUCGAAUGCAUUUAUGUAUCUUCCUGUAUUGCAAAAGCUAUAAUUGGGAAAAUAUUUUCAUCUUUUGAUGAGAAAUUUCUUAACCUUUACUCAUUUCUUCGUUUCCUUAUUAUGUAUUGAAUGUUUAAGAUUGUAGUAUAUUAUUACAUACUUAAAUCUUGUUUAUGAAAUUUUUUAAUGAUUAAUGUUUGGAUUAUAAAUCUCUUGUUUUGCUUAUGUAUUGAAUGAUUUUUAUUUUUAAUGAAGUGAGUCAAAUUGUUUCUUUAAUUAUUCUUGUGUUUUAAUAUUUCUAAAAGGAGCGACUAAUCCUAGGACUUGCUCAGUUACUUUGAUUUGAGCUCGAGAGAGUGAAAAAAGAAUAAGAAGAGAGAUUGGAAAAGAUUAAUUAACAAAAAUUGUGGUACUAAUUUGGGUAUUAAUAAACAAAUCCUUACUUGAUCGCAUAUGUGUUGUUCUGUGUGAAAUUUGCCUCUGACUUAUAGUUGACUAAAUUAUAUUGCAUAUGUUCGUGUACAUUUUCUCACUUGGAAGAGUGGAUUUGGAUGUUAUUAACCAUCACCAUCGUUUAGGUAGAAAAAGAAAAUAACUAAUAGUUUAAUGUUUUAAUACAUAAAUGAUCAACUAAUAUGAGACGGAAAGAGUAGCGUAAAUGUAAGAUUCACUUCUCACCAAGAAUCCUCCUUUCUUAUUAUUUUCCUUUUAGAGGUUAAUAAUUAUUAUGUAUCCCUAGAAUAAUUUAUUGAAAUAGUAGAUUUGAAAGAAAGCAAUUAUUCUCUUCUUCCUAUGCGGGACUUUUAGAACAAAACUAAUUUGACAAAAACCACAAUUUAUUGAUUUUUAGGUGGAAUUAUAUCAAUAAGGAACUAUGCUUAUAAUAUUAAUCUAAGAUCAUUAGGGGUCGUUUGGUAGAGUGUAUGAGGUAAAAUAAUGCAUGCAUUAGGUGUGUGUAUUAGUAAUACCUUGUUUGGUACACUUUUUCAUGUCAUGUAUAACUAAUGCAAGCAUUAGUUAUACACUAUAUUGUGUAUUACUAAUACCAAGAAAUCCUAGAUAUUAGUAAUACAUAGCGUUUUAAUACUUGCAUUAGAUUAUACAAUUACAAAACUACCCUCAAAGCCUUUUAAAAAAACAUCUUCAUUUUCCAUGGUACUGUGUUUAGAAACCUUUCAUCUUCUAUGUGGCUGCUAACACUACAAGAAAAGUGUGAAUUACAUGAGGAUUUUCCUGGGGAUUAGUAUGAAAAUCCGUAGGAAACUUAUUUUUCUGCAAAUUUUCAUACUAAUCCCCAGGGAAAUCCCCAUGUAAUUCACAUUUUUCUUGUAGUGUAAACCUUUAAAAAAAAACAUCUCCGUUAUUUAUAAAUUUGAUUGUUGUAAUACUUUUUUGUAUUUCAAUUGCACUAAAAAAUAGGAUCUGUGGCUGCUAAAGCAUAUGCCCAGACUCCUAAUAUAUAUAAAGUGCAUAUACUGAUUUUAAUAGGGUACCGCUUUGCAGUUAGGAAUUAUCUCAGGUCUAUGCUGCCUGUAUCUCCCUUACAUUCCAUCAGUUUUUAUUUUUUAUUUUUGGACUCGUUUUAUCUCAAAAUAUAUAUAAAGCACUACUAAUGCAUGCAUUACUAACACACCCUAUUUUACAUUAUUCUUAUACACUCUGCCAAACGAUCCCUAUUGUUACUUGAACACAUGGAUUCAUCAUCUGAACAAUUGAAACAAUUAAUACUUGUGUGAACCUCUUGUUAUUUCGAGUGAUGUGUCAGAAUCUUUAGCCAACUAAGACUAGCGUUAAAUUUUUGGCAAGUCUCAAGAAGUGUAAUUAAUACUUAAUAAAAUAAUCUCAUCCUUGAGAUUCAAGAACUUGUUUGGUCUGAAUAGGUUUUAAUCAUUAAGAUCUAGAACAAAGUCUUAAUAUUAGUAAGAGGUAUUUUUGUGUGAAUAGUUUUCUUUGAGGUUCGAGAAAUGGAAUAGAUAUGGACUACAAGUUGAUAUUCGCCAUUAGGAAAUUCACACGAAAAGGAACGAGGAAUUCUCAAUGAAAAAAGCGCUCUCUAAAUCUGUUUAGUAUUUGCCAUGAGGUUCUUACCAUAAUUGAAUUUUCCUUUUAGGAAAAGGUAAACACAGUCUCCAUAUUUGUCUAGUUCUUUUUCUUGUACGAAAAAAAUUAUGACUCUAUAAAUAGAUGUUUAUUCAUUCUAGCUUGGUAGCAUUCAUAAUGUAGUCUUAGGGGGCUUUGAGAGUUUUGUGUAUUGUGUGAAGCUAGGGGAAGAAUGUGUGAGACACAAGUAUUACUUUAACACUUGUGUGAACCUCUUUGUAUUCCGAGUGAAUUGUGUGAGGUCAUUCUUCUCUAGAUUUUGAACUUUCUUUUAUAUAGUGAUUUUUUCAUCUCCUCUUGUGGAUGUAGACCGGUUGACCGAACCACGAUAAAUGUUUGUGUCUUUUUGUAUAUUUCUCGUUUGUCUUAUUACUCAUCGUCUUUCGAGGUUUGCUUUGCUAACUUUUGCAUGACACCUAAUUAUUUCAGUCCCAACAAGUGAUAUCAGAGUCAAGUUCAAUGGUUUAAUGAUCCAAUGGUUGAACCAGGUCAAAAAUAAGUGUUCAUCUUGACGGGUUUAGUUCUACCAUAACAUAUUUGAUAGUAAUGAAGAUUUUUGUUGGAGAAAUAUUUUCAAAGAUGUUUUUUGUGUUGAGAUAUAUAUAUAUAUAUAGAGAGAGAGAGAGAGAGAGAGAGAGAGAGAGAGAGAGAGAGAGGGAGAUAUUUUGCAGAGGAGAUGCAUAGUUAUUGAAGAUUAUGUGAAGAAGGUGGAACAAAUUUAUUUUGUCAGAAAUUUAGGCCAAUGGAGAUAUUUGUUUAGUAUUUGUCAUGAGUUUCUUACCAUAAUUGAGUUUUUUUCUUUUAGAAAAAGGAAAACACAAAGUUUCCAUAUUUGGCUAGUUCUUUUUCUUGUAGGAAAAUGUUUAUGACUCUAAAAUUAUAUGUGUAUUCCUUCUAGCCUAAUAGCAUUCACAAUGUAGUCCUAGGGGGCUUAGAGAGUUUUGUGUAUUGCGUGUAGCUAGGGGAGAAUGUGUGAGACACAAGUGUUACUUUAACACUUCCGUAAACCUCUUUGUUUUUACAUUGAAUUGUGUGGGGUUAUUCCUCUCUAUAUUUUGUACUUUCUUUUAUAUAGUGAAUUGCUCAUAUCCUCUUUUGGAUGUAGGUCGGUUGUUCAAACGACGUUAAAUAUUUGUGUCUUUUGGUAUAUUUUUUGUUUGUUUUAUUACUCACAGUCUUUCAAAGUUUGCUUUGCUAGCUUUUGCAUGAUACCUAAUUAUUUCAGUCCCAACAAAACCAAACGUGAAAGUUGUUUUCCAGCAGGCAACUUUUCUAGUAGCUCUACUCUCGACUUGGAUAAUAUAUCCAAAAAGGUACGCUUUCGGUCAUUCCACAUGCUGCCUAUGUAGAGACAUGUUUAUCUAAAGUGGAUUCUCUUUUUUGCAGUAGGUAUUGAACCUGUUAUGCCCAUUGACUAAGAAGCUAGGGGUGGACACAACAACUACAUGGACCUCUUCCUUUCAUUGGCCAUCACCAUUAGUCGUCUUUGUUAUCACAAUGACCACCACCAUUACCGUCAUCAAAUAUCUCUGUCAUCACAAUUACCAUUCUUAUCAACCACUACUAUAUAUCAAGCAUUUGCUAUAUUUAUGUUUUUUAUCGACAUAAACAAUGGGUUAACAUGAUAUAAUUUAUUAGUAGUUUUAUAUAUUUUUCCCAUAAUAAAGGAAACAAUCACUUAUACAUUCUUUGAGAUCAUUUAGUGUAAAAUCAGGAGUGGAAUCAUAACUAGGGUUAUAGCUUAGGAUCAAUUCACCUUCUUAAUUAAUGGGAUAAUUUACUUAGCUAAAUUUGAGUGAAAAGAAGAAGAAAUUAAUUAAUUUAAUUCGUUUACGUUCCAAUGGGGUGUGCAAUACCCAUAAAUUUGUCAUGUCGUUAUUAGGUGUUCAUGAGAUGCAUAUAUUUCAAGCAAAAGUGUCUAUCUGAUUACUAGACAAGUUUAGCCGUCCAAUUUACAAAUUCUGCCAAAUUUGAGGGACUAUCUAGAUAUUAUUAAGAAAAUCUAUCUUAUUUAAUAUAAUAUUUAAAAUAGAUAACUUUGUAAUUAGUGUUCGCUAGAUCUUCAUAUUUUCUCCAACCAUUAUAAAUUCUCAGUGCUCUCUCUAUAUAAAUUCAUCAGGAUAAAAAUAAACAAGACAAGAUAUCAUACAUAAAAAAUAUCCAAAAGAGUUUUCUUUAAAUAUGUGUAAUCUUUUUUAAAUAGCAUAUCCCUUAAGAAGCUAUGUAGUUUUAUCACAAUGUCCUUCUUUAAUUGUUUUUCUUUAAUUAAUAAAAAGGUGUGUUAUAUAUAUCUUCAAUUGAUGAUAAGCCCACUUAUAUACAAAUAAAGUAAUGCAAGUGAAACUCUGUAAAGAAUCCUAUGAAGGUUCUAGCAGAGAAAUUAUAUUUAAAAAGGAGGGUAAUAGCUAAUGUGAAACAAUUAGGGUUGUAAAAUAAAAAAUAAAUCAAAAUAAUAAUAAUUAGGGUUGCAAAGCAACACCCUCUAUUAUUGAAGUUGAAGUUGUAAUUCGUAGGAUUAUUAUAUAAUUGUAAUAAUGCCUAGCUUUUUGUAACAAGAAGAGAAGUGUAUCAUCAUUUGGAGAGUUGUUAGAACAAUUAUAGUUAACAUUUGAGUUAAAGUACUAAAAUUAAUCUCUUAAAUUAUAAAGGUGUAAUUUGAAAUCAUUCGUUGAAGUUAGUAUAGAUUGAUUGAUAAGGAGUUGUUUAUAGUCUUUUGAGCAAAGAUAUUUUCAUUGUAAGCCCUUUCUUACUUAAUUAGCACUCCUUCGUUACUUUUUACUUAGUAGGACAUACGAAUUGAGGUUAGCUUAUCGCAAUCUAGUAUAUACAUUCAAUUAUUAGAAAAUAAAAUAAUAAUAAUAAAAUUAUUAUUAAAUUUAAGUUUUACUGUCUGGAUUUAUCAUGACACAUAUAAUGUCCACUUGGGCAAAUUUAUUAUUUAAAACACAAUAAUAAUAAUAUAUUCAAUGUAAUUUCAUAAUUGACAUUUGAGAAGAAAAAAUAUAUAUGCUAACCCUUGAUUAAAAAAUUAAAAUUAACCAACCAAAACUAAAAUAAAUAUUUAUAUAAGGUUGUGUAGUGAGAACAAUUAGAUAUACUGGUUUUAAUUCAACUAUGCAUUAAAAAGAACAAUAAGUUGCUGUGGUGUAGUGGUUAUCACGUUAGUCUUACACACUAAAGGUCCCCAGUUCGAUCCUGGGCAGCAACAUAUAUGUAAAAAGUUUUACUUUUUUUUUGAUAUGUCGACGAAAACGUGUUUAUCCUUUUAUUUGUCGGCGGCAUGUCGACGAAAACGUGUUUCUCCUCUUUAUUGUUUUCACCAUGACCUCUUCACUACUAUAUUUACAUUACAUGCUUGUUCUAUCGGAAACAACUCUACCUUCACAAGGUAGGGUAAGACUGCAUAAACGUCACCCUCCCCAUAGUACGUAAAAAGAAUAUGAGACAGCUGCAGGAUCAUGGAAAGAUCAAAUUUUCUCUUUAUUUCAUUAUUGCAAUUACUCCAUGUCAAAAUCCAAAUACAUUCUAUAGGCAUUUCUAUCUGAAGAGUAAUAGCCCUCCACAAGAGUAUCCACUUGGAAACCGAGUUUCUUGUAUAGCUGCAUAGCUGCAGUCCUUGUAGGAUCUACAUGAAGCGAUAUCCGAUGAACGUUUCUUGUUCUGCAUUUCUGCACUGCUGCCUCCAGUAAUUUUUCUCCAUGGCCUUGUCCCCUGUAGUUCUCUUUCACUGAUGUAUUCCACAGGAACGAUGCAUCAGUAAACAAAACGAAAAAUUUUAAAUGACAAAAGAUAAGGAAUAUUGUAAAUGAAUCUCUUAACCCCUCGUUUUUCAACUUGUGUUGAUUCGCUCAGGCCAGAGAACAACAAGAGAGAGACAGGCAUAAACAUCACGAUGAAAAACUCAUAACCACAUAGAGAACGAAAGCAAUUCUUUUGAAAAAUAAACAUCACAUGAAAGAUGGUUCUCUCUUCUAUGUAAUGACGGACAAUGCUUCACUGACUUAUCGGGAAUAUUUACUAAUAAUAUCAAUUCACCUUCUGCCUUUCCCUAUUGCGAUUCAAUAUGAUGACGAUCAGAGAAAGAUAUAACUAAACUCUCCUGCAAAAUUCCUUUAAAACAACUGCUAGCUAUUUCAAGGUUCGUUGUUUCCGCAAUAGUAACAUAUCAGCUUUGCUCGGAGGGGAAAACUACAUAACACCACUCUAAUUUAGAAAUGCUGCACUUUCAUCCAAUCCAGCUACAGAGAAAAACGUUGAAAGAGCAGAAGCAAUUUCUCCUACCUCUCUAUUCAUAGAGAUCAAAACUUGUUCGGCAAAUGCAUUCAUGCAUAUUCUUCUUUAAAAGACAACUUUUUGUAGAUGAACUGCUCCCAAAUAAGUAUUUUUAUCUUUUGAAUGCUCAAGUUAUAGUCACAUUCACACUCUUGACUGCUCUUUUUCCUACGAAAACAUUAUCAAAGAGUCACAUUUGAGUUCCUCACGAUUAUAACCUCGUAUAUUAAAUCAAAUUGGUCCUAGUCACAUUCGGAAAUAGUCUCUCUACUUUCACAACUAGGGAUAAGACCGCGUACAGACUAACCUCUCCAAACCCCACUUGUCUACGCGGUCCUAGUCACACUCACAUUGGGAAAUUGUCUCUCUACUUUCACAGGUAGGGAUAAGACUGCGUACACACUACCCUCUCCAGACCCCACUUGUCUACACAGUCCUAGUCACACUCACAUUGGGAAAUAGUCUCUCUACUUUCACAGGUAGGGAUAAGACUGCGUACACACUACCCUCUCCAGACCUUACUUGUCUACGCAGUCCUAAUCACACUCACAUUGGGAAAUAGUCUCUCUACUUUCACAGGUAGGGAUGGAUAAGACUGCCUACACACUAUCCUCUCUCCAAACCCGACUUAUCUACACAGAGUAUGUUGUUGUUCCAAUAAACAAUAUUAGAUAUCAGCUUAGACUUCAAUCCAAGAAUACAACUACAAUAAUCAGAAUAAAUUCAAGAAUAAGACCAAUUAUUAAAAGGAAAAUCAAAGCAAAACAGAAAAUUAUGAAAAGGGUAUUUUUUGUUCAGACCUGCUAAUUUAGUGAUACAAGCAGAGAGUGAAGAAGGCCAAGAAUACAUAACAUAACCAGCAAUAUCUUCACCUAAUUGAGUGUAGAGUAACCCAGAAUUCUUCUUUUUCAGUUCCUCAUCAAAAGAUCGAGCUAAAGAUUCAUGUUUGGGGAAAAUCUUCUUCUCUAUUCUCACUAUAUCGUCAACUACCUUAACCCAAUUUGCUGAAUUUCUCUGCAAUUCAACUAUCUCUGCCAUUUCUUCGUUUUCAUAUUUCUCUGUUUUUGCUGCUGUAUUUAGGUUAACAAGAAUCUACUGGGGUCAUUAUUGGAAAGAAAAAUAGUUCCUCUGUUAUUUUAAAAGUUUUUACUUUAUUUUUUUUAACUAUAAAGUUCUUAUAUAUUUUUAACGUUUUAAUUAUUAGAAACUAUUAUGUACAUUGUUUUUAUUUUACAUGGUUUAUUAAUAUAUAUAGUAUAAAUUUGCAUUCAUGUAUUAAUUAACUUAUCAAUUAAUCAAUAGUAAAAAUUCUCUCUGAUUUUCUGAUUAUUUAUGGCCAGUUUUUUUUUGUAUGUGUGCGUCUCUAAGCUCGUAAGUGAAAGUAAAUCAAUUUUUUAAUUGUUAAUUUAUGCCCAACUUCUUUAUGUAUGUGUGCGUUUCUAAGCUCGUAAGUGAAAGUAAAUCGAGUCUCACGAUAUCAUCUGUCUUUGUCAUACUCGUCUGGUUGAACAAGGACUAAUACUAGUUGUUGAGCAAAAUUAAUUUAUAAAUACUCUUAACAAGGUGUGAUAUUAUUUGUUUUGGGUAAAGUCUUUGUAAGGCUUCACACUAUUAAGAGAUUCUACACUUUAUAUGUAAUUUUUCAAUCUUUUCAGCUAUCAAUGUGGGAUUUUAUUUACCCAACUAACAAUUUUGUUAUUUGUUCUUACAUUUUGGUGUUAGCUUUGGCCUUUGUGUACUCCAUCAUAGGUUGAGGAAAGGGAUCAUAUAUAAUUGGAAAAAUACAAAUCAGAAUGGUAUUUUUGUUAGUAAUCCAAGGGAUUGGUUUACUUUUGGACAUGUUAUUUUUUUGGUUCUACUUAAGGUUAGUAAGGUCAUUUCAAUAUUAUUUUCUUCCUACUUCAAUCAACAGCAACUUCUAUUUUUCCUUAUAUGACAACGCAAUUCAAUCUAGCUACGUUGUUAUGUUAACCAACCCCAAAAACAGGACACCAUAUCUAGAUUGAUAAGCUUAAGUAAGUUUCGAUAUGACUCAUUUAUACUUCAAUUAAUCUAAAGUAAAACUUAUCCAUAUGUAUGAUCCAGCCAAAUUAUUUUAUCAAUAUAAUCGAAAUAUUAAAAACAUAUUUAGUAAUUAUGGAUAUCAUAGGUAUAGAUAUGUAUAUAUAUUAUACUAAAAUAUACAAAACCUAUACAAUUAUGACUAUUUGUAAAUUAGAUUAAUCAAAGACAUUGAACUGUAAUUAUUCCAAUCUAUACUUUAAACCCUUUUCACUUCAAAGCACUAUCCCAAUUCUAAACAGUUUGAGACAUGGUAAAAAAAAAUAAUUGAUUUUUUUUUUUUUAAGAUGGGGUGUAGUUAGGUGGAAUUUUCUUGGUUUUGUUCAAAUAAGUCUGCCUUUUGAAGCAUAGGCAUACUUGUUUCAUCUUUAUAUAUAUAUAUAUAAUAAUGAUGUUCUGGAUAACUUUUACACCUUAACUUGAUUAAUUAUGUGAGAUAUCUGUCAUUUUUCAUAGCAAUAUUAUAUUUAACUAUAUUCGCCCAAACUAAAACAGGUAGAAAUAACAUUUGAAUCUGUCAAACUGCAAUAAUGAAUUAUAUAUGGUGGAAGAUUCUUUGGGGCCCAACUGGCCCCACAGCUAAUAUUUUAACGGACGUCCAUGAAAAGUUUUAACAAAAUCACGUCGAAAUUCUAGAUCACCAAAAAUUCAUGGACUAUAUAGCACACGAUAAUCAGCAAAAUGGGGGGGGGGGUUACUUGCUCAAGGGCUCGUCUGACCUUGAAAAUGGGCUGGUUUGCCCGUGGGGACCAAUUGGCUCUAUAACUAAGGUCUUAACGGACGUCCAUGAAAAGUUAUUGCAAAAAAUCACGUUGGAGUUCCAUAUCACCAAAAAUCCAUGGACUAUAGCACAUGAAAAUUGGCAAAAUAAAGGGUUUACCUACUCUGGGCUCGUUUGACCUUGAAAAUGGGUUGGUUUGCCCGUGGGAACCAGCCGGCUCCAUAGCUAAGGUUUUAACGGAAAACCAUGAAAUUUUUUGGCAAAAGUCACGUCGGAAUUGCGGAUCACCAAAAAUCCAUGGACUAUAGUACACGAAAAUCGGCAAAAUGGGGGGGUUUACCUACUCUGGGGAUUGUUUGACCUUGAAAAUUUCCCGAUUUGCCCGUGUGGACCAACUGGCACCACAGCUAAGGUUUUAAUGGACGACCAUGAAAUUUUUUGGCAAAAGUCACGUCGGAAUUGCGGAUCACCAAAAGUUCAUGGACUAUAGUACACGAAAAUUGACAAAAUAGGGGGUUUACCUACUCUGGGGAUCGUUUGACCUUGAAAAUUGUCCGGUUUGCCCGUGUGGACCAACUGGCUCUAUAGCUAAGGUCUUAACGGACGUAUACAGAAAAUUUUGGCAAAAAUCACGUCAAAAUUUCGGAUCACCAAAAAUGCAUGGUCUAUAACACACGAAAAUCGGUAAAAUGAGGGUUUACCUGCUCUGGGGAUCAUUUGACCUUGAAAAUGGGUCGGUUUACUCGUGGGGACCAACUGGCUCUAUGCUAAGGUCUUAACGGACGUCUAUGAAAUUUUUUAGCAAAAAUCACGUCGAAAUUUCGGAUCACCAAAAUCCUAUGGACUAUAGCACACAAAAAUCGGCAAAAUAGGGGGUUUACCUGCUCUAGGCUCGUUUGACCUUGAAAAUGGGCCGAUUUUCCCGUGGGGACCAACUGGCUCCAUAGCUAAGGACUUCACGGACGUCCUUGACAAAUUUUGGCAAAAAUCACGUCGGAAUUCCGUAUCACCAAAAAUUUACGGACCAUAGCACACGAAAAUAGGCAAAAUGGGGGGUUUACCUGCUCUGGGCUCAUUUGACCUUGAAAAUGGGCCGGUUUGCUCGUGGGGACCAACUGGCUGCAUAGCUAAGGUCUUAACGGAUGUCCAUGAAAAUUUUUGGUAAAAAUCACGUAGGAAUUCCGGAUCACAAAAAAUCCAUGGAUUAUAGCACAUGAAAAUCGGCAAAAUGGGGGGUUUUACCUGCUCUGGGGUUCAUUUAACCUUGAAAAUGGGCCAAUUUUCCCGUGGGGACCAACUGGCUCUAUAGGUAAGGCUUAAUGGACGUCCAUGAAUUUUUUUUGUAAAAAUCAUGUCAAAAUUCUGUAUCUCCAAAAAUCCAUGGACUAUAGCACACAAAAAUCAGCAAAAUGGGCGGUUUACCUGCUCUGGGAAUCGUUUGAACUUGAAAAUGGGCCGGUUUACCCAUGGGGAUCAACUGUCUUCAUAGCUAAGGUCUUAACGGACGUCUUUAAAAAUUUUGGCAAAAUUACGUCGAAAUUCCAGAUCAUCAAAAAUCCAUGGAUUAUAGCACAAGAAAAUGGGUAAAAUGGGUUGGUUUGCCCGUGGGGACCAACUGGCUCCAUAGCUAAGGUCUUAACGGACGUCCAUGAAAUUUUUUAGAAAAAAUCAUGUCGAAAUUCUGGAUCACCAAAAAUUGAUGGACUAGCACACAAAAAUUGGCAAAAUGGGGGGUUUACCUACUCUGGGGAUCGUUUGACCUUGUAACUGGGCCAAUUUUCCUGUGGGACCAACUGGCUCCAUAACUAAGGUCUUAACGGACGUCCAUGGAAAUUUUUGGAAAAAAUCACAUCAGAAUUCCGGAUCACCAAAAAUUCAUGGAUUAUAGCUCACGAAAAUUGGCAAAAUGGGGGGUUUACCUGCUCUUGGGCUCAUUUGACGUUGAAAAUGAGCCGGUUUGCUCGUGGGGACCAACUGGCUCCAUAGCUAAGGUCUUAACGGACGUCCAUAAAUUUUUUUGGCAAAAAUCACGUCGGAAUUCCGGAUCACAUUCAUGACUAUUUGUAAAUUAGAUUGAUCAAAGACAUUGAACUGUAAUUAUUCCAAUCUAUUCUUUAAACCUUUUUCACUUCAAAGUACUAUCCCAAUUCUAAACAGGUUGAGACCUAGUAAAAAAAAUGAUUUUUUUUAAAGAUGGGGUGUAGUUAGGUGGAAUUUUCUUGGUUUUGUUCAAAUAAGUCUGCCUUUUGAAGCAUCGGCUAUUCUUGUUUCAUCUUUAUUUUAUUUUUCAUAAUAAUGGUGUUCUGGAUAACUUUCACACCUUGACUUGAUUAAUUAUGUGAGAUAUUUAUCUGAUCAUUUUUCAUCAGCAAUAUUUAACUAUAUUCGCCUAAACUAAAACAGGUAGAAAUAACAUUUGAAUCUGUCAAACUUCAAUAAUGAAUUAUAUAUGGUAGAAGAUUCUUUGGGGCCAUUAUGCAAUGAUAGUGGAACAUGAGAAUAUUUUUAUGAUUGGUAAAAAUAUCAUGGGAAUGGCGAAAAACUAGCUUUGAUAAGAAGAAUAUGAUGCUUUAUAACAUUAUCAAGGGAACAAAAGUCAUUUUUAUAUAUUUGAAGAAAAGAAAGUUUUCACAUUACAAUAAUUGGGAUGCCUAUAAAUGUGUGGUUCAAAAUGAUAGUGACAAGCCACAUAUUAUAUUGAAGCAUUAAUUAAUCAUAGUAAAGAAAGUUCAAUGUUAUUAUUAGGGGCAAUUUGUGCAAAGUAGAUAUGACCUAAGUUGCUUGAACGCAAAGGUAAUGUUAUAAUGUUUGUGAAAAAUUGAUAGAUCAUUAAAUCAUUAAACCUAUUACCUAUAUAAGAUUUAGUGCUAAUUACAAUCAUUUCUAUGUAGUGUAAGUGAUGUUGGAUUAGGUGGAUAUCAACUUAUCAAAGUGGACACCAAAUUUUUUAAAUUGCUUUCUCUAGUGUUACACUAACUUUAAUAAGUGGAAAUCCUUAGACAAUUGUUGAAGAUAUCUAUCAUAUUUGAUCAAAUAAAACAUAAGUUAUCAAUCAUAGAAUCAGAUAUAUACCUUUAAAUUCACGGGAGCGUUUGACUAUGUUUCAUUGUGAAAUUUGAUUUUUCUUUUCAAGUAAAAAAAGAUAAAUUGAAAUUAGAUAUUGUUAUCAACUUGUAUACCACUAGUUCGAAAGGCAUAAUUUCUUAAACUGACAUUCAAACUUAGCCUCCACUUACAAGUAAUUACUUCAACUUUUUCAUUAUGUAUGCAUAUUUAGACACCUUAUAAACUCGACUCAUUUCCACUAUACCAGCUAAACUCUCCAACAUAUGUACAAAAUAAUCAUCUAGUCACCUUCAAAAUUUAUUCAUUACAUCAGCAUCGAAUGUAAUGAGAUACAGAGACGAGUUGAGUAUUUAGUAGACCGUUGAAACCAAGUUGAGGUGUCCAUACCUAUACAACAAUUAUCACAGGUGACAUGCUUUCAAAUAAUUUUGAAGUAUUAAAAAUAGAUGAUUUAUUAAAAUAAGAUAUUUCUCACCAUAAGCAAUUUUCAAUUCUUUCGCAUCAAACGCACCCAUAUUUAGAAUGUUCUAUACUAUCACUCUCCAUAGACGGCAGCCAUCAUGUCAAUCACCACCCACCAGCACUUGCUGUUGUUAACCUUGCCAAAUAGAUAAUGACAAGUUGGCAUAUGAGAUAGGUGGUCUACGCCUAUCAACAUGAGUUGUGGUGCAAUGGUGGAAUUGCUCAAUCCUUAAUUAGAAAUUUCAGGUUUGAGUCUUGGGUAUGAAGAAAAUUCUAUUGGAAGCGUCACUCUCAAAUGAGUCCUGUGCUGUACAAUUCAGAUUUAAUUAAGGCUUUAAUGCAGACUCCGAACAGUGAGCGUGAGAAAAAAAGAGAGGUGGCCUAUGCCUAUUUCUCUUUGAGAUGUUGAUGCCUUGAUUUUGAAUGUCUUGUUUUUCAAUCCUCGUGCUUAUAUCUUUGAAUAUUCAUUACUUUCUCUAGAUGUGAAAACUACUCUUUCCGUUUCAAUUUGAAUAUUCAGAUUAUAAAGAAUAUUUUUUUUAUAUUUUACGUAACUUUAAUCGAAUACCAUAUAAUUUAAAAGUUCGUUUUACUUUUUUAAAUCAAAAUCAAAUAAAUAAAUUAAAACGAAAGGAGUGAUGGCUGAGAUGUCCUGUAAAAUGGUAUUGGUCUCUUUAGUGGGAUUUUGUUAUUUUGAUUUUAAAUUGACACAAGAAGCUAAACAAGCUUUGUCUUCUUAAUGAUUGGAUUUGAUUCAUCUUUUCAAUUUCAAUUGAGUCUGUCUCAAAAUUCAUAAUGUUAACUAUAUAAAUCCAGGUGAUCAUAUAUUACAUUGAUCUAAGAUGUAUAUUCAUAUCAUAUAUCGCGUUACUAAAUAUAAUUACAUUGUAUGAACACGCGAAGAAGAUGAUCAGAACAAGAGAAGACAUGUUACUAAACAACAACAUAAGAAAAAACAAAUUCUGUUAAGUGAUUGAUCCGCGUGUGAUAGUUGUCUUCUUAACCUUGGACUAUUGCUUCCUGCUAGAUUAUAUGAACUUGAAUAUGUAUACAAAUUAGUAUUCAAUGAGUUCCCAAACAUUCGCGCAUAAAAAAUUUCCCCUGUUGUCGUUCCACCAGGACUUAGCAUAUGUUCUGUAUUUGUAUAAUUUCGAUGAUGAUCAUGAGAUUGUUGGUAUAAUGGAGGCAUAUUAUUAUUGGGUAUUACUCCGUGACUCCUACAUCUCGGAGUAGGAGGUCUUUGUGGUAUGACUAUACCAAGAUUCAGGGCCUUGCCUGCUGUUUUUGUAGCUUGACCGCGACCAUAGAGUGGAAUCAAUGUUUUUUGUGAGACUUCAGCUUUGCAAACAGGGCAUUUUGGCUGUUGAUUAUCGAUGUUCUCUGAUGAAAUGGUCUUAAUAUGUAUCCAUUUGUAGAUGCAAGGCCAACAAUAGAGGUGACCACAUAAUGUAACAACAGGAUCAUGUACAACAUCCAGGCAAAUGUUGCACUCGAAACCUCCAGGUGAAUUUUCUUCAAGUUUAUCAAGAUCAAUUGUCUUACAUUUUUCAAAGGAAAUAUCGCGUUGAUCAAAAAUAGUUUCUGGUAUUUGGUCUUGAAAAAUUUGUUCUAAGGCCAUAUUUGCUUCUUGGUAUUGAUUUAUUUUGGUAAUGGCAAGAUGAAUGGUUAGAAUUCAGGUUUUUAAUACAAUUAGAAGUGAGUAUUUAUAAGGACAAGAAUAGUAGUUUGCAAACAAUGAUUCUUAAGGUUGUCACUUGUCAACAUCACAUCAUGUUAAAGGGGCAUGGCCAAAAAGAAAAGGCCCUACACAUUAUUAAACAACACUAUAUCAUAUUACUCAACUCAGUUUUGAUUUAUGGGUACUGUUUGAUUUGAUAUAACAUUUAAUAAGAAAAUGAAAACUUUUAAAAUAUGUACUGUAUUAAAGAUAAAAAAUAAAUUUUAAAUUUUUAGAUCCUAGAAAUGAUAUUCUUUUUAUAUUAAGACUACAACAAAUGUCUUACAUAAAUUAAGACAGGUGAACUAUCAAACACAUCAUAAUUAAGUGAUUUAAUGAAGUCAAAAAUAAAUAUUAAUGGAUCAUGGUUAAGUGAGAGGAGUUUUGUGCAAACACGUCUUUUAUCUAUCUAUUUGAUUUAAACAAGCAUAAGUUUUAUCAUAUUAGAAAUAUGAUUAGGACCUUAUAUUAGGCCCCAUGAUAAGAAUCUUAAUCUAGAAAAUAACUUUUAGUCAAUAAAAAGUAGCACUAGUUGCGUACAAGGAGCUACCACUUGAUGACCUUCCACACAGCCACAUCCCAUAAGUUCAAUAGUUUUCACACUAUAAGAACUAGAUGUUUUUUUCCGAGUGAAUCAAUAAAAAUUUUAUGUUAUAAAACAUGAUUUUUUUCAUUUUGAUUUUAUUAAACUAAUUCACUAAGAAAACCCAUAACGAAACAUAAGUUCUCAUUGAAAUACUGGAAAUAGUCACUUGGAAAUUUAUGAGUUUUAGGAAAUUAUGCAUCAAAACUUAGAAAGACGCGGCUCAUAUAGAAAUUUGUUGUUAAAUCAUAAUAUAUACUUUUACAUCUGAAUAUCUUUAUUGAUUUGGUUAAAAUUAUAAUUAAAAAAAUUACAAUACAAUAUAUAUAGAUUCACAUAAAUUUAAUACUGUAAGUUCAAUUAUUAUUAUGAUAUAUUAAUCUAAAAUUAUUAUAGAAGCUUCUAAACUCUAAAUUCAGAUCCAACUAAGGAGUGAAUAUACAUAGUGGGGGUCUGGGGGAUGGGAGAAAACAUAUGGACGGUGUGACAAAUAAAUAAAAGAAAUACUCCGUCCAUUCCAUUUGACUUAGUAUUGUUUGACUUAAUACGAUGUAUAAGAGAAAAAAAAGAUUUUAGAAAAUUAUAGGCUAAAACAAUUUUUAUAUAUUUAUAUAAUUGUAAAUCAUUUCAUUAAUUAAGGGUAGAUGGAGAAUUUUAAGUUUAAUUAUUUUCAAUUACAAUAAAAUGACAUUUUUAAAGACGGAUUAUGAGAAUAGAGUGCCACGUAAUAUAAAACGAGAAAAUACUACUCCCUCCUUCCCAUUUUAUAUGUUACCUUUUUACUUUACAUUUACAUUAAGAAAUAAUGUAACUUUACCCUUCUACCCUUAUUUAAUGUUUUCUUAAGUUAACUUUAUAACUCCCUCCGUCCCAUUUUAUAUGUCAUCUCUUUCUAUAAAUAGUUGGACCACAAUACUUGUCAUUUUAUAAAAUUUAUGUAUAAAUUACCAUAUUUUACCUAUUAUAUCCUUGAUAGAGUAGUUAAUUAAUCUUGAAAAUAUAUUCAUCAUUUAUUAUAAAUUGACUUAAGAAAAUAUUAAAUAAGAAUAGAAAGAUAAAAUUACAUCAUUCUUCAACAAGUGGUAUCAGAGCCAGGUUAAUAAGAGCGAGGUAGUAACUCAAAAGAGAUCCUACAAGCUACCGUCGGAGGCUACAAAUCGCGAGGCACUAAUUAAUGAUGGAUUUUGCAAGCACUCUCAAUAGCGUUGAGANNNNNNNNNNNNNNNNNNNNNNNNNNNNNNNNNNNNNNNNNNNNNNNNNNNNNNNNNNNNNNNNNNNNNNNNNNNNNNNNNNNNNNNNNNNNNNNNNNNNNNNNNNNNNNNNNNNNNNNNNNNNNNNNNNNNNNNNNNNNNNNNNNNNNNNNNNNNNNNNNNNNNNNNNNNNNNNNNNNNNNNNNNNNNNNNNNNNNNNNNNNNNNNNNNNNNNNNNNNNNNNNNNNNNNNNNNNNNNNNNNNNNNNNNNNNNNNNNNNNNNNNNNNNNNNNNNNNNNNNNNNNNNNNNNNNNNNNNNNNNNNNNNNNNNNNNNNNNNNNNNNNNNNNNNNNNNNNNNNNNNNNNNNNNNNNNNNNNNNNNNNNNNNNNNNNNNNNNNNNNNNNNNNNNNNNNNNNNNNNNNNNNNNNNNNNNNNNNNNNNNNNNNNNNNNNNNNNNNNNNNNNNNNNNNNNNNNNNNNNNNNNNNNNNNNNNNNNNNNNNNNNNNNNNNNNNNNNNNNNNNNNNNNNNNNNNNNNNNNNNNNNNNNNNNNNNNNNNNNNNNNNNNNNNNNNNNNNNNNNNNNNNNNNNNNNNNNNNNNNNNNNNNNNNNNNNNNNNNNNNNNNNNNNNNNNNNNNNNNNNNNNNNNNNNNNNNNNNNNNNNNNNNNNNNNNNNNNNNNNNNNNNNNNNNNNNNNNNNNNNNNNNNNNNNNNNNNNNNNNNNNNNNNNNNNNNNNNNNNNNNNNNNNNNNNNNNNNNNNNNNNNNNNNNNNNNNNNNNNNNNNNNNNNNNNNNNNNNNNNNNNNNNNNNNNNNNNNNNNNNNNNNNNNNNNNNNNNNNNNNNNNNNNNNNNNNNNNNNNNNNNNNNNNNNNNNNNNNNNNNNNNNNNNNNNNNNNNNNNNNNNNNNNNNNNNNNNNNNNNNNNNNNNNNNNNNNNNNNNNNNNNNNNNNNNNNNNNNNNNNNNNNNNNNNNNNNNNNNNNNNNNNNNNNNNNNNNNNNNNNNNNNNNNNNNNNNNNNNNNNNNNNNNNNNNNNNNNNNNNNNNNNNNNNNNNNNNNNNNNNNNNNNNNNNNNNNNNNNNNNNNNNNNNNNNNNNNNNNNNNNNNNNNNNNNNNNNNNNNNNNNNNNNNNNNNNNNNNNNNNNNNNNNNNNNNNNNNNNNNNNNNNNNNNNNNNNNNNNNNNNNNNNNNNNNNNNNNNNNNNNNNNNNNNNNNNNNNNNNNNNNNNNNNNNNNNNNNNNNNNNNNNNNNNNNNNNNNNNNNNNNNNNNNNNNNNNNNNNNNNNNNNNNNNNNNNNNNNNNNNNNNNNNNNNNNNNNNNNNNNNNNNNNNNNNNNNNNNNNNNNNNNNNNNNNNNNNNNNNNNNNNNNNNNNNNNNNNNNNNNNNNNNNNNNNNNNNNNNNNNNNNNNNNNNNNNNNNNNNNNNNNNNNNNNNNNNNNNNNNNNNNNNNNNNNNNNNNNNNNNNNNNNNNNNNNNNNNNNNNNNNNNNNNNNNNNNNNNNNNNNNNNNNNNNNNNAAGCUUGAGAUAAGAGGAGACGUUAUAUGUGCUGGAUGUCAAUAUGGGAAAGCACAUCAACUUCCCUAUGGAGAAUCAAAGUAUCAAGCGNNNNNNNNNNNNNNNNNNNNNNNNNNNNNNNNNNNNNNNNNNNNNNNNNNNNNNNNNNNNNNNNNNNNNNNNGACCAGUGAAGCAGUCCUCCAUCAGCGGUUACCGUUACAUGGUAACAUUCAGUGAUGACUUCUCAAGGUACGUAUGGAUUUACUUCAUAAAAGAGAAAUUUGAAGUAUUUGAGAAGUUUAAAGAGUUUCAAUAUACUGUGGAGAAUGAUAUUGGAAGAAAAAUCAAAUGUCUCCGUACGGACAAUGGGGGAGAAUACACGUCACGAGAGUUCAAUGAAUAUCUUAAAGAGAAGUUGAUAAGACGACAACUAACUUGUCCAAAUACACCACAACAAAAUGGAGUGGCUGAAAGAAAAAAUAGACAUCUGGCGGAGAUAUGCAGAAGUAUGUUGCAUAGUAUGAAUGUACCAGCAAGGUUUUGGGCAGAAUGCAUGAAGACUGUUGUCCACAUCAUCAACAGGCUGCCGCAGGCAAGAUUGAGAUUUAUCUCACCAUUUGAGAAACUUAAAAAAAUAGAUUCCUACUGUAAGCCACUUUCGAGUUUUUGGUUGUGUGUGCUAUGUGUUCGUGCCAGAUCAUCUCCGCAACAAGUUUGAUAAGAAAGCUGUUCGUUGCAUCUUUGUUGGAUACGAUGAACAAAGAAAAGGAUGGAAGUGUUGUGACCCUACCACAAAUCGGACAUAUGUGUCAAGAAAUGUGGUAUUUGAUGAAGCAUCAUCUUGGUGGUCCAAAGAAGUCUCCCUGCCAGACUCAAUAGCUCUUGAGCAAAAGCUGCAAGAUAAGCUCAAUGAAGUAGAACAAGGGAACAAGAUAGACUCUAACCAGGAGGUAUCUCCACAAAAGGAAAAGAAAAGCUUACCACAAACUGGAGCUUGUGAAACACCAGAUGAGUUGCAAGAAGAAGUCCAAGAAGAGUCACAAUCGCAACUGAGGAGGUCUACACGACUGAAGCGUCCAAACAUCAAGUACAUAGAUGCAGCAUUAACCGAGGUGGUUAACAUCAAAGAGGCUGCUACCUUUGAAGAAGCUUCAAAGAGUAGGGAUCGGAAUAAUCCGACGAAGGUGGAGAUCCCCAAAGGGUAUGGACGUUAUGAUGCUUGCAAAGUUUCAGGAAUCGCUCACAAAAGACGCAAAGAAAAAAUUAAGUUGGUGUUGAGGGGGAGUGUUAAGAAUUCAUCACCAACUUAAUUCUUUACUUAAGAUAAAUCAAGAAAAAUCUAGAAUAUUCCGGAGGUGUAGAGAAUUGAAGGAAGAUCUCUAGAAUGAGUAUUCUAGAAAGAAUAGUCUAGAAAUGUUCUAGAAAGAAUAGUUCUAGAAAAAGAUAGUUAGGAAUAUUCUAGAAUAGAGUAGUAUGUAUCUCUCUAGAUUCUUCCAUCACCACCUAUAAAUAGAGGUGGUCCAUUUGAGUUGUAAGCAACCAAGCAAGAAACCAAGCAAGAAAUAAGAGAGCAAACAAGAGUGAGUGCUUAAGUCAAAUAGUGUUGCUGAAGCAAGCAACAAGUGUGAUCAAGAUUGUAAGACCGAAGCGGGUCCUUACUUUGAUAUAAUAAAAUUCAAGUUGUGAGAAAUCGAUUGUGCCCGUCGUCUCCAAAACAAUAAUAUUCAACACUCAUCCCCAAUUCUAGAGACUAAGUUUCUCAUCUUCAUUCUUAUCUCUAUCCUUACUUGUUAUUUCAAUAUUUCCAUUGUAAUUAGAUAGUUUGAUUAUUCCAAUUAGAAUAUUAAAGUUGUAAUAGUGUUCCAGUGCUCUUAUUAAUAGUGUGAGAAUUUUGGUUUGUUACAUCAGACGUUCUCUUUUCGAAUAAUUGAACGUCUCAUAUUAUUUGCUAAUGAAAAAUAUCAUGAGUAGGACCCAAAAAGAUAGUAGUACCAGAUAACAAACAAAAAAAUACUGUACAGUCUAAAAAUAAGUAUAGAAUAGCUUGAACUUUUGGGCCGUUGUAUAAAACACCCAGAAAGGGAGACAGGGGAGUCACUGGUCCACUUAAUUAUUACAUGUAGUAAAAUUAUUAGUUAUGUACUAGCAAUACUGGAAGUAUUAUUUCAUGGCAUAUAUUGGUGACUAAGAUAAGUGAUAAGCAUAAUAAAUAAUUUAGAAGUAGGUGGAUUCGAGUCAUCAACGAGCUCCCGGGGAGGAAUGAAAAAACUCUUAAUAAUAACUACAACAUGGAGUGGCCACUGCUAGCAUAGGUGAUAUCCUACGAAUAAUGAUGCCACUGCCUUCCGUCAUAUCCAAAUCCUCCGGUUUUAACACUUCUGGUAAUGCUAAAUUGAACUUGUGCACAAUCCUUGCUAAUGCUAGCUCAAUUACCACAAUAGCAAAACCAGUUCCUGGGCAGCCCCUUCUCCUAAAAUUGUCAACUUUUUAUAUUUUGGCUUACUUGGAAGCAAGUCUAUCCUCUCCUAUCCAAUCAAUUAGGGUGGCCAUUAAUCAGAUAUUAUUAGGCUAAAGAUAACAUAUUGCUCCCUCCGUUUUUAAUUAUUUAUCCAUUUUUUUAGUUAUUCCUAAUUACUUGUCUAUUUUGACAAAUCAAGAAAGAAUAAUUUUUUUUACCUAUUAUACCGUCAAUUUAUUACUUUGAAAAAAGUAGAACUUUUUGAAAAUCUUGAGUUUUUAAUUCAUCCACUUCAUAAUUAAUAUGGGUAAAAUGGUAAACUCACUAUUUCAAUAAUUGUUUUCUUAAUAAGUGUGCCAAUUUAAAAAUGGAUAAGUAAUUAGGGAUAGAGAAAGUAUAUCGAAAUAAUAUAAUCAGAUAUUAUGCUAAAGAUGAUUAACAAAACUUUGAACAAUUAUAAAUAAGAUAGCAAAAAAAUCGAUUAGAUAAUACUUAGCAAAUUAACACGGUUCAACGAUUAGUGAUGGAAUCUGAAUAUGAUUCGGGAUUUUCACUAUUAAUGAAAUUCAAAAGGCAUAAUACAUAAAUGUGCCCUUUAACUUGACUUCAUUUUAUGUUUAUGUCGUUCAAUUUUGGGUAUGCACAUAAACUUGUAUAAAGUUGAACAACUAGCCACAUGAGUUCUACACGACACAAUACAUUUAAGACACCACGUAGGAUAAAAAAUGACAUGUAGGAUACCAUAUAGGACAUGUGUGUCUGUUUCUUCAACUUUAUACAAAUUUAAAUGUCUACUUGUGCACACCCGAAGUUGAAGGGCAUAAAUGUGAUUUGAAGCCAAGUUAAAUGGUAUAUUUAUGUAUUAUGCCUAUUCAAAAUAUGAAUAAGUAAACAUACAAAUUAGCUGACUACAAUAAUACAAAGAUAAAAAAACAAUUUUAAUUAUAUGUAUAAAUAGUAUAAUUUUCCAUCAAAGGUGGUUCAUUUGAUUCCUCACUUCUUUCCCUCAUUUAAAACUAUGCAAUAUGAGACUUUCAUGUCACAUGGAAUCCUUCUCUUUUUUUUUUUUGGAAAUCUUAAUAGCUCAGUUAACUAACUGACUAUUUGAAUUCUCGAUUCCCCAUACUGUAAUCCUCUACCCCAAUUUUUUUCAUUACCUUCCUCACAUAUGUAUAAGACCGAAUCCAAAGAACUAAGAUGAGAGAAUUUUGGGAGAGCCGCCACUCCAACUACUGCCAUGUAUUAUCCAUACUAGAUCUGACCAUCUGUCCAUCCUACCCUCCUCUACGUUCUUGACAACCCAUUUUUGUCUUAGUCAAGUCUUUUAGUGGCACAUUUUGACCUUCUUUUCCAUUACUUAGAAAAAGUGAGCUAUUAUUCAGAUACAAAAUACUAUCAUUAUCGCCUAGAAAAUUAGACAUUCAACCCGUAAUCACAAUGAUCCAAUUACAAAAGCUCUGAACCCCCUAGGUCUAGACUGGCUCUGGCCCCUGGUUUUAUCACUUGACCUUCACAUGAGUAAACUCGUUGAUAUAGAGGAUUACAGUAUCGAUUUCUUUAAAAGAAAAAAACCUUAAUUUAUAAAAGUUCAAAAGAUUUUAAUUCAAUGUUUGUAAGUAAAAAAACAUAUUUCAUAAAACGGUUGCAAAUCACAUCGAAUAAGUUCCAUUGAUUGGUGUAUGGUUCUCAUAAGGGAAGUAACAGCAGCAUAAGCCAUAUAUCCAAAAAAUAGGACUAUCUCUCACUCUCAGUAUGAAAAUGGACAAAUUAAUUGCCACAAGUUAUGAAAAUGGCUAGUCCUCAGAACACCUUAACUACUUGCUGCAGAAUAAAAAAAAGACGCAAAAAAUGGAAAAUAAUAUGUUAGAUGUCCCAUAAUUAAGGAACAAGAGAACAUUAUAGUAAGAAUGAGCAUGCAGGUAUAAGAACUUACUCAUUAUUGCGGCAAGAAGCAACUUCUUUCUCAAAGUCAUCAUCAUCAUCAUCUUCAUCUGUUGUUACAGUAUCAAAUACCAAUUUCUCGAGCUGAUAUAAGUAGCGAAAAUCAUACAGGUCCUUGUGAUUGCGAAAGUCCUCUGGGACGCCAAAUACUUUCAACUUCUUUAAAUUGGGAAAUAGUCUAAAAAAAGACCCUGUACAAUACCAAGGAUUCAAUUGAUUGAGGCAUUGCAAACUUUUCAAAACCAAUCUGUUCUCUGUAGGCUCAUGACUCUGCAAGUAAUUCCAGCCCAUACACAGCUUCCUCAAUUGUGGCAUUGUCAAAAUUUCCGAUGGUAAUAUGAAAGGAUAAGCACAAUCACGAAACGGAAAGUUAAACUUAAAAGUUUGUAGAUAGCAUAGGCUUGAUAUCGAUAGAGGAAUGUCUAUUAUUGAUGAGGGAACAGCUUUUAACGAUCCUCGAUACUGCUUUAAGCAAGGAUAAAAACACAAAGAUAGGUAUCUCAAAUGAAUUAGAGAAAGUACUCCACUGGGAAAAAUUGGGUAUAUAUUCAAACCAAGAUCUAGUACUCUUACUAGCUUGAAAGACAAUUCCAGUGUGAAGCAUUUCAAUCCACCCAACAUGAUAAUAGAAUGAGCCUCACUGUUACGACACCAAGCCAAUUCUUCCUUCUUAUAGAUACUGAUCCGACUUCGACUCUUAAAGGAACACUGCAUGGAUUGUGCACAUGAAUUUUGAUCACUCUUUCCUCUGAUAACAUUCACAAAAUUCAUGUUUCGAGCUUCCCUCAAACAGAGUUCACGGAUCACAUCAUGCAUUCCACAUCUCUCUAUUUCCCCAUCAAAACUCAAAUUGUGGAUAGAAAUUAGACUUCUAUCUACAAGUUCGUUUAUACAUGUUUCUGCCACCUCUUCUAUGCUUUUUCCUUCUUCUUCAUUCAAAAACCCCUCUACGGCCCAUAACUCAACAAGUGCAUUUACAUAAAUCCGUUCAUCCUCUGCGAAAAUUGCAAAAUACAGAAAACACGGUUUUAGGUGAGAAGGCAAGUGAUGGUAACUCAAAGCCAACACUCUCAUGCAUUUUGCUUCAAGAUCUCUGCUUACCACCGAACUUACAUUCUCCGCAACAUUUUGCCACUCAUCCAAUGUUUUACUGAUUUUGGAGAGAAGUCCAGCAAUCAAAGUAAUUUCUAGAGGUAACCCUCCACAUUUUAAUGCAAUUUGUUUCCCAAUAUUUUCAAAUUCAGGAGAAUAAGAACCUUCUUUUUCAAAGAUCUUUUUGUGUAGUAAAUUCCAACUUUCGUCAAAAUUCAUGAGGCGCAUNNNNNNNNNNNNNNNNNNNNNNNNNNNNNNNNNNNNNNNNNNNNNNNNNNNNNNNNNNNNNNNNNNNNNNNNNNNNNNNNNNNNNNNNNNNNNNNNNNNNNNNNNNNNNNNNNNNNNNNNNNNNNNNNNNNNNNNNNNNNNNNNNNNNNNNNNNNNNNNNNNNNNNNNNNNNNNNNNNNNNNNNNNNNNNNNNNNNNNNNNNNNNNNNNNNNNNNNNNNNNNNNNNNNNNNNNNNNNNNNNNNNNNNNNNNNNNNNNNNNNNNNNNNNNNNNNNNNNNNNNNNNNNNNNNNNNNNNNNNNNNNNNNNNNNNNNNNNNNNNNNNNNNCAUGUUCAGGUAAACUGACAAGUGAGCUAGUUUGUGGUUUUAGAUCUUUCAUGCUGUCCGAUGCUGCCAUCCACUGUUUCACGGUGGAAUCAAUGUAUUCUAGUGCUUGUUCCAAGACGAAAAAAAUCUCCCACAUAGCCCUGCUUCUUUCCUCCAAAUUCUGUGCUAAAAAAACAUUUCUUGAUUCCGAGUCAACCAUAUCUUCUGUUGUGUAUGCUACCUCUGCGAUUUCAACUUCCAAGAUUGUUAACCCCUCAUGAUCGCCCAUUAUAUUGCAGGAUUUCUCCAGAAUAGCUCUCAAAGAUUUGAGCUUUUCAUAAAACGGUUGCAAAUCACAUCCAGUAAGUUCCAUUGAUUGAUGUAUGGUUCUCAUAAGGGAAGUAACAGCAGCAUAAGCCAUAUAUCCAAAAAAUAGAAAUAUCUCUCAGUAUGAAAAUGGACAAAUUGCCACAAGUUAUGUAAUUUUUCAGUUUUUAAGAAAACAGAAAAUGCAAAGUUCUUUCUUUUACUAGCUAUUUCCAUCACAUUUCCAGCUAGGUCCACCAACCUUAUCAUCAUGUAGACAAAAGCAGAGACCAAAGUUAAAAAAAAGUAGAAAAAUUUGUGAUCAUUCAUUAUUAGACCGUACACAUAUCUAUUCAUGAAUAUAAGUAUGCUUCUUACAUACAAGAGAUUGAUGAUUUUAAUUACAUUGAAAGCAACUUAGUAGAAUUUUCCAAAUCAAAGAGAGAAAUAUUAAGAUCCAAGUAGGAAUUUCUCUAUUCCUAGUUCGAUUCAAUUAACCAAGCAUAAAUAUCUCUUAAUAUACAUGAGAAGUUUAGACUCUAAAAGUCAAAUCAACAAAAUAUUUAUGGGCUAACACAUGAAAAACUAUUGAGAAAAUCGCCUAAUUUCUGUAAAUUGGCCCUUAAAUCUCCAAAAUGAACUCUAAAAAUUGUCAGACUGUACGUAUUGCUCCCCAACUCCCUACUGAGGGUUCUGUAAAGAUUUCGAUUAGAAUUCGUCCGUAAGUCAUAUCACCAAUAUAUUAAUGACUAACACACACGAAAAACUGAGAAAAUUGUCUAAUUUCUUGAAAUUGGCCCCUAAAUGCCUAAAAUGGACUCUAAAAGUUGUGAGACUGUACGUACUGCUCCCCCGACUCCCUACAGAGGGUUUCGUAAAUGUGUAGCAAAGAAAUCGUCUGGAAGUCAUAUCACUAUAAUAUUAAUGGGCUAACACACACAAACCACUGAGAAAGUCGCGUAUUCCUGUAAAUUGGCCCCUAAAUGCCCAAAAUGAACUCUAAAAUUGUGAGACUAUGUACUGCUCCACUAACUCCCUAUGGAGGGUUCCGUAAAGAUUUCACAAAGAAAUUAUUCGGAAGACAUAUCACCAAAAUAUUUAUGGGCUAAUACAUUUUUAUUUGUCCAUUUGAUUUGACAUAUCUUUCAAGUACUUUGAUCUGGUUAUACUUUUUUUUUAUUGCUAAAAAUAAAUAUCCACUUUUACUUGUUCAUUCUACAAAACAAAGACAAUAUUUUAUUGCUUGAUUCAGAUAUAAAAUUUGAGUAGGCUAAUUUACAAACCAUCUGUAGUCAUCCUGCCCCUAUGCUAUAACAUUUGAAAGAAAGAGGUCAUCAUCAUCAUAUUCAUCAUCGUUGUCAUCUUCAUCAUCAUCUUCAUCAUCGUUGUCAUCUUCAUCAUCAUCUUCAUCUUCUUCAUCAUUAUCAUCAUCAUCAUCAUGAUCGUCAUCGUCACUUGUUUCCUCACUGUUGAAAAAGCCAGCAACAAAAGAUGAAAAAUGAAAUGUUAUGCAAGUAUAACAAGUUACACAAUUACUAUAUUGGAAGGAUUUAAAUCAUAUACAAUGACAACGUAUGAACUUUUACACUAUAGGUGCCAUUUAACUGCUUAUUAAAGCAAUUUAUAAUUAUUUUAUUACUAGUUCUGGACACGUGCUUUGCAUGUGUAUAUUACACGUUUAGUCACGAUUGUAAGAGGGUGUACACCAGGAUCAUUCGAAGAGCAAAGUCGUGUGAGCCUUACAGAUAUUCUUGACGUACUCCUAUUAAAAUCUGUAUCAUAUUCGUAACUUUUUGAAUGAGGUUCACCUUUUUCCUCAUUGUACUUUGUACAUGGAUGUUGUCCAUCACAAUAUCCCCUUUUUCAAAUUUCAUAGCUGAACUACUAGGUGUACGAGUUCCUACCAGAACUACUACCAACUAUUUAUCAAAACACACAUCAACUAUAUAUGAGUUGUUCCCUUUUACUAGUGGUGACAAAUAGGUGGAUUUGGACGGGACUGAAAAUGGAUUGAGCAACAUGGUCGUAACUCACUUAAUCUCUUAAAGCCAGAAAACUUUAAAGAGUUAAUUGAAAUAAACUUAAUGACUAUCCUACUUGAAGUAUCACCGUCGUUCAGGUAAGAAAAAGGAAGUAUAUCAAGGAAGAAGAUGUCUUACAAAGCCUGAUGGAUAUGGACCUCGAUAGAACCUCCAUAGUUGUCUUGAAUGUCCUGUUGAAUCUGCUUUGCGGAAUUCCCAACAGAUUCUGGGCAGUUUCUUAUAUAGAUUAGAGCAAGUGUGGUUAUAUCUGCAAAAUCUUGAGGGAUUGAGUCCAAAAACCUGCAACUAUCAAGAAAUAGUCGUUCAAGGCACGGAAAGUGAUCACAACUAGCUCUCCAGUACUGAAUAUGUGAUCUUUUAAGUAACAAGAACUUCAAAAAAGGAAACCCUUCCUCAGCUACUUCCCACUCCCUGCCUCUGCAUACACCCUGUGUUAGUUCAAGAAGUUCAAGUUUGGGCAAUUUUCCGACAACAAUGCUUAAAUCCUUCCAUGACAAGAAGAAAUUUCCUGUAAAAGUUAAAUUCUUAAGGUUUCGUGGAAAAGCAUCUGGAGGAGGUAAGAUCAAAGAUGGAACAACUUCUACAACAAGUGGAUUCCUUGUCUGAAAACACAUUCUCCUCUCCAAAAAGUAAGCAUUAUUUUGAGGAGGAAGACAAAAUGCUAGUUCCUCGAGAUGAUCUAAGUAGCGAAAAUCAUAGAGGUCUUUGUGACUAUGGAAGUCUUGUGGGAUGCCACGUACUUGCAACUCCUUUAAAUUGGGAAAUAGUCUAAAGAAAGAUGCAGUACAAUAGCUAGGAUUCCAUCCAAACAGAGAAUGUAAAUUUUUCAUAACCAAACUUUUCUCUGUAAGCUCAUGAUAUCGCAAGUAAUUCCGAUCCAAAUGAAGGUGCCUCAACUGUGGCAUUGUCAAAAUAUCUGAUGGUAAUAUCAAAGCAUGUUUACGAAGAUUAAUGACGAGUGGAAGGUAAAGUACCAAACUUUGCAGAUAGCAUAGGUUUGAUAUGGAUGUAGGAAUGUCUACUCUUGAUGAGAGAACAUCUUCUUCGGAUCCUAGAUAUUGCUCAACGUUAGGAUAAAUACGCAAAGCUAGGUGUCUUAAGUGAAUCAAAUAAAGUAUUUCACGGGGAAAAGUUAGACAGAUAUUAUCAGCAAGAUCUAGAACUCUUACUAGCUUGAACGGCAAGUACUCCCUCAUGCAACAUCGGAAUCUACCAAAUAAGAUAACAGAAUGAGCUUCACUGUUAAGGCACCUAACAUACUCUUUCUUAUUAUGGAUGCUGAUUCGACUUCGACUCUUAGACAAACACUGCAUGGAUUUCACAUAUGAAUUUUGAUCAUUCUUUCUUCUGAGAACAUUCACAAAAUUCAUGUUACGAGCUUCCAUCAAACAGAGUUCACGAGUCAUAUCAUGAAUUCCACAACACUUAAUUUUUCCAUCAAAAGUAGUACUUUUAAUGGAAAUUAAACUUCUAUCAAUAAGAUCUUGUAGGUACUUUUCUGCCACUUCUUCUAUGCUUUUCAUCUCUUCUACCUUCAAAAAUCCCUCUGUUUCCCACAAUAUCAUAAGUUUAUUGACAAAAAUCAGUUUAUCCUCUGGGAAGAUUGCGAAAUAUAAAAAGCAUGGUUUUAGGUGGUGAGGCAAGUAAUGGUAACUCAUUGCCAACACCCUCAUGCAUUGGACACCAACAUCUGUGCUUACUGCUGAACUUACAUUUUCAGCAACACUUUGCCACUCACUCAAUGCUUUGUCAAUUUUAGUGAGAAGUCCCGCGAUCACAACAAUUGCUAGAGGCAAUCCUCCGCAUUUCAAUGCAAUUUGCUUUCCAAGUUGUUCAUAUUCAGGGGAGAAAGAGUCUUUCGUAAAGACUUUUUCAUAUAAUAAAUUCCAACUUUCGUCAAAAUUCAUGAGGCGCAUGUGAUGAGGAAGCUUACCUGAGCUAGCAUAUUCAGCCACUUCCACAUUCCGAGUAGUCAAGAGUAUUCGGCUUCCAUUAUGAAAGUCUGGGAAACAUAUUUGUAUAUCAUCCCAAGCUUUUGUAGUCCAUAUGUCAUCAAUGACUACCAAAUAUCUCUUGCCUUUUAGAAGCUUUUGCAGUCGAUCUGCUAGUUGCCCGUCAUGUAGCUGAUCAUAAGGUUUAUCACUUAUACAAGAAAGAAGGUCUAGGAAAACAUUUCUCACACAAUACUCUUGUGAAACAGUAGCUUUUGCACGUAUGUCAAAGCGAUACAUCAUGCAUGGAUCGUUGUAGAGUUUUGUUGCCAAAGUUGUCUUGCCAAUGCCUCCCAUACCUACAAUUGAUACAACUUCUAGUUCUCUUUCUCCUCUAGCAAGUUGAUCCAGCAUCAUCUUGAAUUCAUUUUCAUAGCCAACCAUUAUAACCUCGGACCGCUCAACAGCAAGUUCAGGUAUCUUGGAUAGACAGAAAUUUUGUGCUUUGAAAUCUUUAAUGUUGUUGUACCAGUCCCAUAUUGCCAACCACUGCAUCAUGAAGGAAUCAAUACAUUCUACCUCUUGUUCCAAGGAACAACAGAGUUCCCAGAAAGCUUUGCUUCGUGUAAUUACAGUUUCUGCAGAAGAAACUUUUCUUGAUUUCGAAUCAACCAUGUCUUCUGCUUUGAAUGCUACCUCCGUGAUUUCAACUUCCAAGGUUGUUAACCCCUCAUGAUCGCCCGUUAUAUUGCAGGAUUUCUCUAGAAUAGCUCUCAAAGAUUCGAGCUUUUCAUAAAACGGUUGCAAAUCACAUCCAUUAAGUUCCAUUGAUUGGUGUAUGGUUCUCAUAAGGGAAGUAACAGCAGCAUAAGCCAUAUAUCCAAAAAAUAGGAAUCUCUCACUCUCAGUAUGAAAAUGGACAAAUUAAUUGCCACAAGUUAUGUAAUCUUUCUUUUACUAACUAUUUCCAUCACAUUUCUAGCUAGGUCCACUAACAGGAUAAAGUAGAAAGAUGUGAGGUCACUAACCUUAUCAUCAUGAAGACAAAAGAAGAGACCAAAGUUAAAAAAAAAAAAAGACGAAAAAGUAGAAAAAAUUGUGAUCAUUCAUUAUUAGACCCUACACUAAUCUCUUCAGAAAAAUAAAAUAAAAUUUUAGUUUAAAUAAAGGAAUUCAAGCUGUAUAUUGAUAACGUCCAAUUCAAAUUCAAGUGUAGUACGGUCUAGCAAUAAUAAACUCAACAAAAGUUGGAGUCGAGGAGUACGCUUGUGUCAAGGUGACAGAGAGUGUGCGAAUUUGCUAACAAACAAAAGGUCUUUCUUUUAGCUAGGUCCAUAAUCCAUGUAGUGCUCUAUACUCUCUAGUCUCUAUCAACCAGCUCAAGUUUAAGGGUGUGUUUGGUAUGGAGGAAACAUUUUCUCUAGAAUAGGGAGAGAUUUGUGCAUAAACAAGGAAGAAUCUCUCAGUAUAACAGUGAAUGGGUAUUUUUUUAAGAUUUGCUUCUUUUGUGUAUGACUUUUGUAAGAAACAUUCUGGUAAAAGUUAAAAAAAAUGAUCUUGUGGAAUAGCCACAGUGAAUUCCUUAAUAUUCGAGUAGAAAAAGCCAGAGAGGAUAACAUUGCUAUUUGUACACUUAUCGUGACACGAGUAGUCUCUUAAAUAUUACACCUUUCUACUGAUGUUGCUGAUGCCACUGGAUUUAGCCUUCCGUCUUCCUUUGCAAGGUAGAUCGAGGACUCCCAAGAAAGGAAACACAAGUUACUGGAGUCUGUUCUGGCCUAUACAGUAUGUAUGUACAUAAAAUUUGGAGUAUCUAAAAACCACUGACAAAUGGCUAUACGAAAGAUCAUAUACAAUUAAAUUACAAGCCAUUUGCAAUCAUCCUGCCCCUUUAUGCAGAAUCUUUUCAAAGAAAAUGAAAACGAACAAAACAAACACUCACACAUUUGGCUUCUGAUUUGACAUUUAUUUCAGAGAACUGGCUAGUCGCUGCAGGAAAAAAAAAGACGCAAAAAAUGGAAAAUAAUAUGUUAGAUGUCCCAUAAUUAAGGAACAAGAGAACAUUAUAGCAAGAAUGAGCAUGCAGGUAUAAGAACUUACACAUUAUUGCGGCAAGAAGCAACUUCUUUCUCAAAGUCAUCAUCAUCAUCUUCAUCUGUUGUUACACUAUCGAAAAUGCUAGCUACAAAAGAUGAAAAAUGAAAUGUUACACUUCCCAAAAUCAAGAAUGAGCAUGCAAGUAUAACAAGUUACACAAUAUUGGAAGGAUUCGAAUCAAUCACAAUGACAGCAUCAAGAACUUUUGUUGAAUUGGUGUAAUUUGACUUACUAAAGCUAUUAUCCAGAUUAUUAUCGAGUUUACUAUAAUGAUGAGUUAAAUAUUGUUGUAAAUCAAGGAAGAAGAUGUCUUACUAAAGAUUACGAGUAUGGACCUCGAUAGAGCUUCCAUAGUUGUCUUGAAUGUCCUGUUGAAUUUGCUUGGCGGAAUUCCCAACAGAUUGUUGACAGUAAUGUAUAUCAAUAAGAGCUAGUGUGGUUAUAUCUGCAAAAUCUCGAGGGAUUGAAUCCAAAUACUCGCAAUUUCUAAGAAAAAGUCGUUCAAGGUACGGAAAGUGAUCACUACUAGCUCUCCAGUACCGAAUGUAUAUUUGAUCCAGAAACAAGAACUUCAAGUGAGGAAACCCUUCCUCAACUACUUCCCACUCCUCGCCUAUGACGGCAUUGUGUGAUAGUUUAAGGACCUCGAGUUUGGGUAAUUUACCAACAAUGCUCAAAUCCUUCCAUGCCAAAAGGAAAUCUCCUCUAAAAGUUAAACUCUGGAAAAGAUUAAUUAACAAAAAUUUAUGGUACUAAUUGGGGUAUUAAUUAACAUAUCCUUACUUGAUCACAUAUGUAUUGUUCUGUGUGAAAUUUUCCUCUGACUGAUAGUUGACUAAAUUAUAUUGCAUACGUUCGUGUACAUUUUCUCACUUGGAAGAGUGGAUUUGGACGUAAUUAACUAUCACCAUCGUUUAGGUAGAAAAAAGAAAAUAACUAAUAGUUGAAUGUUUUAAUACAUAGAUGAUCAACUAAUAUGAGAAGAAAAGAGUAGCGUAAAUGUGAGAUUCACUUCUCACCAAGAAUCCUCCUUUCUUAUUAUUUUCCUUUUAGAGGUUAAUAAUUAUUAAGUAUCCCUAGAAUAAUUUAUUGAAAAAGUAGAUUUGAAAGAAAGCAAUUACUCUCUUCUUCCUAUGCGGGACUUCUUGAACAUAACUAAUUUGACAAAAACCACAAUUUUAUUUAUUUUUAGGUGGAAUUAUAUCAAUAAGGAACUAUAUAUGCUUAUGAUAUUAAUCUAAGACCAUUAUUUGUUACUUGAACACAUGGAUUCAUCAUCUGAACAAUUGAAACAAUUAAUACUUGUGUGAACCUUUUUUUAUUUCGAGUGAUGUGUCAUAAUCAUUAGCCAACUAAGACUAGCGUUAAAUUUUUGGUAAGUCUCAAGAAGUGUAAUUAAUACUUAAUAAAAUAAUCUCAUCCUUGAGAUUCAAGAACUUGUUUGGAUUGAAUAGGUUUUUAUCAUCAAGAUCUAGAACAAAGUCUUAAUAUUAGUAAGAGGUAUUUUUGUGUGAAAAGUUUUCUUUGAGGUUCGAGAAAUGGAAUAGAUAUGGACUACAAGUUGAUAUUUCCCAUUGGAAAAUUCACACAAAAAGGAACAAGGAAUUCUCAAUGAAAAAAGCGCUCUCCAAAUCUGUUUAGUAUUUGUCAUGAGGUUCUUAUCAUAAUUGGAUUUUCCUUUUAGGAAAAGGUAAACACAGUCUCCAUAUUUGUCUAGUUCUUUUUCUUGUAGGAAAAAAAUUAUGACUCUAUAAAUAGAUGUUUUGUAACAUCCGACAAUUUGAAAUAGCUAAGAAGAGGCUUGAAAUUUGGAAAUUUUCAAUUUUUGGAAAGGAUUUGAAAAUCUGGAAAAUUUGGCUAAGUAUGGGAAAGGUGAGUUUUUUUGGGCCCAAACUUUGAACAACCAUAAAUUCUAGCUCAGGAUGAGUUAGGUGGAGUUCCGGUUAUGUUUGCAUAGCCCUCGGAACGACCUUUCCAACGCCACUGAGUUUGCUCAAUUCUGAGUUCGUAUGAGCGAGUUAUGGCCAUUGAAAGUUGGGCAGUUGGCAGGGAAUCCGUCCGGAAAAUUAAGGGCAUUUUAGUCUUUUCCCUAGCCAAUUCUUUUGGGAUUAUAUUGUUGUAUAGGGCUGAUCUUUAGAUCAUUUUGUCCCAUUUUAAGAAAUUAAAAUCUAGGGCUUGAGAGUGAAGAAGAGAAGAAGGAGAAGAAGAAGAGAAAAAUCGAGGAGAUCAACAAGUUUCCGACAAGAUCAUCGUGAAUGUUCGUCGGGGGUGAUCCCUAUCAAGGUAUGUGAGCUUUUAGUGUUGGGUGAUACUUUCCCCCACACACCUAGCCCCUUUUAUUUAUUAAGGAAGGAUUGGUUAUGUUGUUAAAGUUGUUAGUUGUUGUGGUUGAAGUUGUUGGAGUUGUUAAAGUUGUUAGUUGUUGUUGUUGGAAUUAUUGUUGGUGGUGGGACAUAAUUGAGUUGUGUUUUUAUGUUGAAAUCUAUUGAAUGUUGAGGGAUUUUAUGUUUCUAAGUGAUUGGGGGCUGGAAUCUUUGAGGUUAGAGGGUUUAGAGUUGGUAACGUGAAGGAGAAAGUCGGGUAGCUUGCGAGGAGCAUGUCUGCGUCGCGGACUUGUUCCUCUGUGAACAAAAAAUCUUCUCCGCGUCGCGGACAGGACGCAGACUCCACUGUUUUCAGAAUUUAUGUUCGAAGAUUUUCUUAGGUUUGGCUGUCCCAAAUCAUUCGCAAAUCAUUCCUAAACAUCAUGAGACCCUUCCAAACACCAAUCAAGUCCUUGAAUCCAUAAUCCAAUUCAAGGUGAGUUAUGAUCAAGUCAAGUGAAGUUAGUUUUCAAGUCAAGUGAAGUUAGAAGUCAAGUGAAGUUAGAGCCAAGCUUAGAAGUUAAGCAAGUCAAAGCAAGUCUUUAAAGCUUUUCAAGAGUCUUCAUUGAACGUUUUGACUUCAUUCUAAGGCUCAAGUUCCAAGUUAAGUAUAGAGUUUCAAGUCAAGCAAAGAGUCUCAAGUUUCAAGUUAAGUAAAGAGUAUCGAGUUUCAAUUUAAGUCAUAAUUUUUCAGUCAAGAGUCAAGAGUUGAGUUCAAUUCUCAAAAGUAAUUAGGGAACUAAGUAUUUCCCAAAGAAGUUUUAUAAGUGUUUUCACAUUUAAGUUGAGAGGAAACGGAGAUUUCCAAAAGAGUUUUGAGAAGUUUGAGCACUAUCUCUUUUAAAAGAAAAGAUGAGUUUUUGAAAAAGAGUUUCUAAAUUAUGAUUAGUAUGACAAAUGGAGUAUGUCAUCAAUGUUUAAACAGUAUGGUCUCUAGAUAUACCAUCAAUGUUUAAGCAGUAUGAAUAUCCCGAGUCAUCAAUGAUCAUAAAAAAAAAAAAUGUGGUUUUGACUUGUUCUAUUUAGAAAGAGUUUUCAAGUGCCUUCGGGCUAAGUUUUGAGUAAUUAUCUCAACUAAAGAAAGAUGUGCUUAAAACACUUAUGAGCUAAAGUAUUUUGGGAGUAGUAUCGAGCACCGAAUUGGGGAAACGAGUUCAUAUUAAACUCAACUCUCCAUAAGAACCAUGUAGCCAAACAUGGGAUUUCUCGGAUCAUACUUUUUAGAUGAUCACGAAAGUUAAGCUAGUGGAUCCAUUAAGCAAAAGUUAAAGUAAGGUCCUAUAUCGAUGGCAAGGUAUAGGAUGGUCCUUGGGCAACGUGAGGUAAAACGUUGUAUCACCACUCAGAUUCAUAGUGGUGGUUUGUCGGUUAGAGAAGCUCCCACAGUAGAAAGAGCAUGGUUCCUCGAGGGUUCUGCUUAGUAUGGAUGGGGGUAUGGGACUUCAUUCAUGCAUUGCACAAGUAGACUUUGAGAGGAAGCAUGGUAUUUUUAUGAUAUUAUAAAUAUGAUUUUUACGUCAUGUUUUAAUAGUUUCAAAAGCUUUAUAUAUAUUGCAUGUGUCUCAUUGCUUUAUAUUAAGUUCAGUUAUUCUUGAGUUGUACAGAGCCAAGGUAAGUUCUCUUUUGUAUCCCUUUUCAAGCUUAAGUUGUUGUUUAGCGGUCCAGCUCGCAUACUCGUACAUUCCAUGUACUGAUGCCAGUUGGCCUGCAUCUUAUGACGAUGCAGACACNNNNNNNNNNNNNNNNNNNNNNNNNNNNNNNNNNNNNNNNNNNNNNNNNNNNNNNNNNNNNNNNNNNNNNNNNNNNNNNNNNNNNNNNNNNNNNNNNNNNNNNNNNCAGUCAGUUAGUUUUGAGUCUCUCAUCUAUGUAUAUAUGUAAAUAUUCUAUUUUGAGACUCGAGUGGCCUUUUUGGCCAGAUGUGUAUCAUUUAAGUUGUUUAUGUCUUUGCAUGGCAUUGAGUUAUUCUGUUGAGUAGGUUUCCGCUGAGUUAAGAAAGCCAGGCCAAGGGUUCGCUUGGGGCCAGCAAUGGUCUCUGAGUGCCGGUCCCGCCCAGGGUGUAGGCUCGGGGCGUGACAUGUUUAUUCAUUCUAGCUUGGUAGCAUUCAUAAUGCAAUCCUAGGGGGCUUUGAGAGUUUUGUGUAUUGUGUGAAGCUAGAGGAAGAAUGUAUGAGACACAAGUAUUACUUUAACACUUGUGUGAACCUCUUUGUAUUCAGAGUGAAUUGUGUGAGGUUAUUCUUCUCUAGAUUUUAUAGUGAUUUUUUCAUCUCCUCUUGUGGAUGUAGAUCGGUUGACCGAACCACGAUAAAUGUUUGUGUCUUUUGAUAUAUUUCUUGUUUGUCUUAUUACUCAUCGUCUUUCAAGGUUUGCUUUGCUAGCUUUUGCAUGACACCUAAUUAUUUCAGUCCCAACAAGUGACAUCAGAGUCAGGUUCAAUGGUUUAAUGAUUCAAUGGUCGAACCAUGUUAAAAAUAAGUGUUCAUCUUGACGGGUUUAGUUCUAGCCGUAACAUAUUUGACAGUAAUGAAGAUUUUUGUUGGAGAAAUAUUUUCAAAGAUGUUUUCUGUGUUGAUAUAUAUAUAUAUAUAUAUAUAUAUAGAUUUUGCAGAGGAGAUGCAAGGUAUUGAAGAUUAUGUGAAGAAGGUGGAUCAAAUUUAUUUUGUCAGAAAUUUAGGCCAAUGGAGAUAUUUGUUUAGUAUUUGUCAUGAAUUUCUUAUCAUAAUUGGGUUUUUUCUUUUAGAAAAAGGAAACCACAAAGUUUCCAUAUUUGGCUAGUUCUUUUUCUUGUAGGAAAAUGUUUGACUCUAAAAUUAUAUGUGUAUUCCUUCUAGCCUAAUAGCAUUUACAAUGUAGUCCUAAGGGGCAUAGAGAGUUUUGUGUAUUGCGUGUAGCUAGGGGGAGAAUGUGUGAGACACAAGUGUUACUUUAACACUUGUGUAAACCUCUUUGUUUUUCCAUUGAAUUGUGUAAGGUUAUUCCUCUCAAUAUUUUGUACUUUCUUUUAUAUAGUGAAUUGCUCAUAUCCUCUUUUGGAUGUAGGUCGGUUGUCCGAACUACGUUGAAUAUUUAUGUCUUUUGGUAUAUUUUUCGUUUGUAUUAUUACUCAUGGUCUUUCAAAAUUUGCUUUGCUAGCUUUUGCCUGAUACCUAAUAAUUUCAGUCCCAACAAAACCAAACGUGAAAGUUGUUUUCCAGCAGACAACUUUUCUAGUAGCUCUACUCUCGACUUGGAUAAUUUAACCAAAAAGGUACGCUUUCGGCCAUUCUACAUGCUGCCUAUGUAGAGACAUGUUUAUCUAAAGUGGAUUCUCUUUUUUGUAGUAGGUAUCAAACCUGUUAUGCCCAUUGACUAAGAAGCUAGGGGUGGACACAACAACUACAUGGACCUCUUUCUUACAUCGGCCAUCACUAUUAAUCGUCUUUGUUAUCACAAUGACCACCACUAUUACCGUCAUCAAACAUCUCUGUCCUCACAAUUACCAUUAUUAUCAACCACUACUAUAUAUCAAACAUUUGCUAUAUUUAUGUUUUUUAUUGACAUAAACAAUGGGUUAACAUGAUAUAAUUUAUUAGUAGUUUUAUAUAUUUUUCUUAUAAUAAAGGAAACAAUCACUUAUACAUUCUUUGAGAUCAUUUAGUUUAAAAUCAGGAGUGGAAUCAUAACUAGGGUUAUAGCUUAGCAUCAAUUCACCUUCUUAAUUAAUGGGAUAAUUUAAUUAGCUAAAUUUGAAUGAAAAGAAGAAGAAAUUGAUUAAUUUAAUUCGUUUACGUUCCAAUGGGGUGUGCAAUAUCCAUAAAUUUGUCAUGUCGUUAUUAGGUGUUCAUGAGAUGCACAUAUUCCAAGCAAAAGUACCUAUUUGAUCACUAGAUGAGUUUAAGUAUUCAAUUUACAAAUUCUGCCAAAUUUGAGGGACUAUCUAGGUAUUAUUUAGAUAAAAUUAUUUGUAUAGUCCACUCUAAACAUACUUAUAAUUAAGCAAGUAACAUAUACUAUAUAAAGAAGCUUCUAGAGAUAAUUAAAGUUAACUCUAUAUAAUUAGAGUUGCAAUAACAAAUACGUCAAAACAUUAAAGUGUUUCACCAAUAAAGUCAUUUUUUUAAUGUCCAAAACUAAUCCAAUGGAAGCUCUAUUAUGUGGAACACCAGAAGAAGUUUCAGUAUUGUUGGUACAUCAUGAAGUAGAAUUUCUUACUAAUCAGACUGUUAAAUUGUUAGAGGCUUAUAAAUACAAAGGUGACAUUCUAGAAUUUUUUUAACUUUUUUGUUUCUUUGAUAUAAUAACUAAAUGCCGUGUGACAUUUUUUUUUAUAUAUAGAGAGAGAUUGAAAUGAUAUGCUUUUUGUUAUCUCAUUUAUGAUUUUAGCAUCGUCCAUUUUUAAAUUUCAUUUAUCUUGUAAAUCUUGAACUUUUCUUUUUCCUUGUUAUCAUAGCACUUUUUAAUUUUUACAAAUUUAUCUAUCCUCGAAGAAAAAUAAUUCUACAUUAGUGAUGGAUGCACAAGAAAUUAGGAUGACGGGAGGGAAGAGAAAGAGCACGAAAAAGACAUGAUAAGAGAUGAUCUGUCUAUCAUUAUUACUUGAGAUAAUAUUUUUUUGUCUUUUAUUGGAUGUAUAAAAAAAAAUGAGGAGAUCUAAUUUUCAUUAAAAAAACAUUUCCCUUUCUAUUUUUUGUUUUUGUUUUUCGUUGGACGUAGACAAAAAAUUGGCAACUCCUUUCUUAUACUUUGUUAGAUCAUCUAAUUACAUAUCUAUGAAAUAAAAUUACCUCAAAACAUUUUAUCCUAUUAUCUUUUGCUUUAAUAUUUAUUUGUUUUUGACAAGCCAUAAAUAAAUUGGAAUAGUUUUUAGAAAUAUAUUCUUUAGGAUCUUCUCUAGUUUUUAGUAAUCCAAUUAACGAAAAAAAAAAACUAAUAUAUACUUUUUAUGUAACCAAUCUAGUUAAGAUUGCACUCAUCAUUUAUAAUAUAAGUUGAUUAAUAUGUGUUAUUUUAAAAAUUAAAGUGCAGAAAUAUAACAUGAAAAUUCACAGUUGAAUUUGAAUAACAAACAAACAUAUCCAAAUGAUACCUUUGUGUACAAUAUUUUUUUUUUCAUAAUUUUCACUGAUUUCAAAUUGCACGGGUAUAUGUAGUUACGGAAGUUAUGGCUCCUGCGGCAAUGUCAAUGCUUUUCAAAGAAAAGAAAAAAAUUGAUGCAAUGAUAAUCAAGGUCAUUUCACCGGAUUCACAUUGCUUUGAGCUCCUGGCACAAGCUGUAACCUUGAACAUCAUCGUAGUAAGUAAGUAUUUAUAAUUCUAUCUUCCACUUAUUAUUAUAGACGGUAAAGUAAGUUUUUUUAAUUAACUAUUGCAUAAUGUAUAUAAUAUUAUUCAAUUUUAAUUGCUAUCUUCUUGAUAUAAUUAUGCAGUUGUCUAUGAUGAACUCAAUGAAUUCUUAGUGAAGAAAGCUUUGGACAAUGGAGCUUACAUUUGCUCGAAGAAGCCUCUUGUCGAGCAAACUAUGACAUUCUUGUGGCAAUUUGUAUGGAGGGAGAAAACACAAAGAGGGAAAUCAAUAAAAAGAGUAGAAACAAAGGGAGAUCAUAUUUUUGUUUGAAGUUAUUGGAGUUCUGAGAAAACAAUAGGUCGUGGUUUUUUCCUCCCUUGAGCAAAGAGGUUUCCACGUUAACAUAUGUGUUCUUACUUUAAGCAUUUAGAUUACUUCUUGUUAUCAGUAUAGUCAAGUGGUCAGAACACGAGAAGACAUGUCACUAAACAACAACAUAUAUAGGAAAAAACAAACUCUGCUAAGUGAUCGAUCCGUGUGUGAUAGUUGCCUUCUUAACCUUGAACUAUUGCUUCCUGCUAGAUUAUAUGAACUUAGAUAUGUAUACAAAUUAGUAUUCAAUGAGUUCCCAAACAUUCGUGCAUAAACAAUUUCCCCUGUUGUCGUGCCACCAGGACUUAGCAUAUGUUCUGUAUUUGUAUAAUUUCGAUGAUGAUCAUGAGAUUGCUGGGAUAAUGGAGGCAUAUUAUUAUUGUGUAUUAGACCGUGACUCCUACAUCUCGAACUAGGAGGUCUUUGUGGUAUGACUAUACCAAAAUUCUAUACCAAAAUUCGGGGCCUUAAUUUCAGAUGUUUUUGUAGCUUGACAGCGACCAUAGAGUGGAAUCAAUGUUUUUUGUGAGACUUCAGCUUUGCAAACAGGGCAAUUUGGUUGUUGGUUAUCGAUGUUCUCUGAUGAAAUGGUCUUAAAAUGUAUCCAUUUGUAGAUGCAAGGCCAACAAUAGGAGGUGACCACAUAAUGUAACAACAGGAUCAUGUACAACAUCUAGGCAAAUGUUGCACUCGAAACCUCCAGGUGAAUUUUCUUCAAGUUUAUCAAGAUCAAUUGUCUCCAUUUUUCAAAGGAAAUAUCGCGUUGAUCAAAGGUAGUUUCUGCUAUUUGGUCUUGAAAAAUUUGUUCUAAGGCCAUAUUUGCCUCUUGGUAUUGAAUUAUUUUGGUAAUGGCAAGAUGAAGAAUGGUUAGAAUUCAGGUUUUUAAUACAAUUAGAAGUGAGUAUUUAUAAGGACAAAGAAUAGUAGUUUGCAAACAAUGAUUCUUAAGGUUGUCACUUGUCAACAUCACAUUAUGUUAAAGGGGCAUGGCCAAAAAGAAAAGGCCCUACACAUUAUUAAACAACACUAUAUCAUAUUACUCAACAGUCUUGAUUUAUGGGGUAUUGUUUGAUUUGAUAUAACAUUUAAUAAGAAAAUGAAGACUUUUAAAAUAUGUACUGUAUUAAAGAUAAAAAAUAAAUUUUAAGUUUUUCGAUCCUAGAAAUGAUAUUCUUUUUAUAUUAAGACUAAAACAAAUGUUUUACAUAAAUUAAGAUAGAUGAACUAUCAAACACAUCAUAAUUAAGUGAUUUAAUGAAGUCAAAAAUAAAUAUUAAUGGAUCAUGGUUAAGUGAGAGGAGUUUUGUGCAAACACGUCUUUUAUCUAUCUAUUUGAUUUAAACAAGCAUAAGUUUUAUCAUAUUAGAAAUAUGAUUAGGACCUUAUAUUAGGCCCCAUGAUAGGAAUCUUAAUCUAGAAAAUAACUUUUAGUCAAUAAAAAGUAGCACUAGUUGCGUACAAGGAGCUACCACUUGAUGACCUUCCACACUUCCACAUCCCAUAAGUUCAAUAGUUUUCACACUAUAAGAACUAGAUGUUUUUUUCCGCGUGAAUCAAUAAAAUUUUUAGUUUUAUGUUAUAAAACAUGAUUUUUUUCAUUUUGAUUUUAUUAAACUAAUUCACUAAGAAAAUUCAUAACGAAACAUAAGUUCUCAUUGAAAUACUGGAAAUAGUCACUUGGAAAUUUAUGAGUUUUAGGAAAUUAUGCAUCAAAACUUAGAAAGACGCGGCUCAUAUAGAAAUUUGUUGUUAAAUCAUAAUAUAUACUUUUACAUCUGAAUAUCUUUAUUGAUUUGGUUAAAAUUAUAAUUAAAAAAAUUACAAUACAAUAUAUAUAGAUUCACAUAAAUUUAAUACUGUAAGUUCAAUUAUUAUUCAAUUAUUAUUAUGAUAUAUUAAUCUAAAAUUAUUAUAGAAGCUUCUAAACUCUAAAUUCAGAUCCAACUAAGGAGUGAAUAUACAUAGUGGGGGUCUGGGGGAUGGGAGAAAACAUAUGGACGGUGUGACAAAUAAAUAAAAGAAAUACUCCGUCCAUUCCAUUUGACUUAGUAUUGUUUGACUUAAUACGAUGUAUAAGAGAAAAAAAAGAUUUUAGAAAAUUAUAGGCUAAAACAAUUUUUAUAUAUUUAUAUAAUUGUAAAUCAUUUCAUUAAUUAAGGGUAGAUGGAGAAUUUUAAGUUUAAUUAUUUUCAAUUACAAUAAAAUGACAUUUUUAAAGACGGAUUAUGAGAAUAGAGUGCCACGUAAAAUAAAACGAGAAAAUACUACUCCCUCCUUCCCAUUUUAUAUGUUACCUUUUUACUUUACAUUUACAUUAAGAAAUAAUGUAACUUUACCCUUCUACCCUUAUUUAAUGUUUUCUUAAGUUAACUUUAUAACUCCCUCCGUCCCAUUUUAUAUGUCAUCUCUUUCUAUAAAUAGUUGGACCACAAUACUUGUCAUUUUAUAAAAUUUAUGUAUAAAUUACCAUAUUUUACCUAUUAUAUCCUUGAUAGAGUAGUUAAUUAAUCUUGAAAAUAUAUUCAUCAUUUAUUAUAAAUUGACUUAAGAAAAUAUUAAAUAAGAAUAGAAAGAUAAAAUUACAUCAUUUCUUAAUAAAAGUAUAAAGUAAAAAUGUGACGUAUAAAAUAGAACGGAGGGAGUACUACAAAAGAACGAGUCCGCACAUGCAUUAUACAAGUACUACAUGUGUCUCGAAUUUAGCAGCCUUUUGUCAACUUUUUAUAUUUUGGCUUACUUGGAAGCAAGUCUAUCCUCUCCUAUACAAUCAAUUAGGGUGGCCAUUAAUCAUAUAUUAUUAGGCUAAAGAUAACAUAUUGCUCCCUCCGUUUUUAAUUAUUUAUCCAUUUUUUUAGUUAUUCCUAAUUACUUGUCUAUUUUUACAAAUCAAGAAAGAACAAUUUUUUUUACCUAUUAUACCGUCAAUUUAUUACUUUGAAAAAAGUAGAACUUUUUGAAAAUCUUGAGUUUUUAAUUCAUCCACUUCAUAAUUAAUAUGGAUAAAAUGGUAAACUCACUAUUUCAAUAAUUGUUUUCUUAAUAGGUGUGCCAAUUCAAAAAUGGACAAGUAAUUAGGGAUAGAGAAAGUAUAUCGAAAUAAUAUAAUAAGAUAUUAUGCUAAAGAUAAUUAACAAAACUUUGAACAAUUAUAAAUAAGAUAGCAAAAAAAUCCAUAGUAAAUUAACAUGGUUCAACGAUUAGUGAUGGAAUCUGAAUAUGAUUCAGGAUUUUCACUAUUAAUGAAAUUCAAAAGGAAUAAUACAUAAAUGUGCCCUUUAACUUGACUUCAUUUUAUGUUUAUGUCCUUCAACUUUGGGUAUACACAAAUAUGCACCUAAACUUGUAUAAAGUUGAACAACUAGACACAUGAGUCCUACAUGACACAAUACACAUAAGAUACCACGUAGGAUAAAAAAUGCCAUGUAGGACAUGUGUGUCUAUUUUUUCAACUUUAUACAAAUUUAAAUAUCUACUUGUGCACACCCAAAGUUGAAGGGCAUAAAUGUGAUUUGAAGCCAAGUUAAAGGGUAUAUUUAUGUAUUAUGCCUAUUCAAAAUAUGAAUAAAUAAACAUAUAAAUUAGCUGACUACAAUAAUAGACAGAUAAAAAAUAAUUUUAACUAUAUGUAUAAAUAAUAUAAUUUUUCAUCGAAAGAGGUUCAUCUGAUUCCUCACUACUUUCUCUCAUUCAAAACUAAGCAAUAUGAGACUUUCAUGUCACAUGGAACCCUUUUUUUUUUUUUUGGAAAUCUCAGUAGUUCAGUUAAUUGACUGACUAUCUGAAUUCUCGAUUUCCCAUGUUGUAAUCCUCUACCCCAAUUUUUUUAUUACCUUCCUCACAUAUGUAUAAGACCGAAUCCAAAUAUCUAAGAUGAGAGAAUUUUGGGAGAGCCACCGACUCCAACUACUGCCAUAUAUUAUCCAUAUUAGAUUUGACCAACUAUCCAUCCUACCCUCCUCUACGUUCUUGACAACCCAUUUUUGUCUUAGUCAAGUCUUUUAGUGGCACGUUUUGAUCCUCUUUUCAAUUACUUAGAAAAAGUGAGUUAUUAUUCAGAUACAAAAUACUAUCAUUAUCGCCUAAAAAAUUAGACAUUCAACCCGUAAUCACAAUGAUCCAAUUACAAAAGCUCCGAACCCCCUAGGUCUAGACUGGCUCUGGCCCUAGUUUUAUCUCUUGACCUUCACAUGAGUAAACUCGUUGAUAUAGAGGAUUACAGUAUUGAUUUCUUUAAAAGAAAAAAACCUUAAUUUAAGGUAUGGAGGCCUAGAAAGGAAACACACGUUAUAUAUGGAGCCUGUUCUGGCCUAUACAGUAUAUAUGUACAUAAAAUUUGGAGUAUCUAAAGAACCACUGACAAAUGGCUACGAAAGAUCAUAUACAAUUAAAUUACAAGCCAUUUGCAAUCAUCCUGCCACCUUAAGCAGAAAAAAUGAAAACGAAUAAAACAAACACUCACACAUUUGGCUUCUGAUUUGACAUUUAUUUCAGAGAACUGGCUAGUCCUCAGAACACCUUAACUACUCGCUGCAGAAAAAGAAAAAAAAGACGCAAAAAAUGGAAAAUAAUAUGUUAGAUGUCCCAUAAUUAAGGAACAAGAGAACAUUAUAGCAAGAAUGAGCAUGCAGGUACGUAUAAGAACUUACACAUUAUUGCGGCAAGAAGCAACUUCUUUCUCAAAGUCAUCAUCAUCAUCAUCAUCUUCAUCUGUUGUCACACUAUCGAAAAUGCUUGCAACAAAAGAUGAAAAAUGAAAUGUUACACUUCCCAAAAUCAAGAAUGAACAUGCAAGUAUAACAAGUUACAAAAUAUUGGAAGGAUUCGAAUCAAUCACAAUGACAGCAUCAAGAACUUUUGUUGAAUUGAUGCAAUUUGACUUACUAAAGCUAUUAUCCAGAUUAUUAUCGAGUUUACUAUGAUGAUGAGUUAAAUAUUGUUGUAAAUCAAGGAAGAAGAUGUCUUACAAAAGAUUCACGAGUAUGGACCUCGAUAGAGCUUCCAUAGUUGUCUUGAAUGUCCUGUUGAAUUUGCUUGGCGGAAUUCCCAACAGAUUGUUUACAGUCACUUAUAUCAAUAAGAGCUAGUGUGGUUAUAUCUGCAAAAUCUCGAGGGAUUGAAUCCAAAGAAUAGCAAUCUUUAAGAAAAAGUCGUUCAAGGUACGGAAAGUGAUCACUACUAGCUCUCCAGUACCGAAUGUAUACUCUAUCCAGAAACAAGAACUUUAAGUGAGGAAACCCUUCCUCAACUACUUCCCACUCCUCGCCUAUGAAGGCAUUGUCUGAUAGUUUAAGGACCUCGAGUUUGGAUAAUUUACCAACAAUGCUCAAAUCCUUCCAUGCCAAAGAAAAUUUUCCCCUAAAAGUUAAACUCUUAAGGUUUUGUGGAAAAGCAUCCGGAGGAGGUAAGAGUAAAGUUGGAACAUCAGUUGGAGGUGCAGUUCCCCCGAAACGAGUCUGAAACCUCAGAGGAUCUUGCGGAGUAGAACCUGAAGGUGCAGUGUUUUUUAGAAAGCAAGCAAUAGGUGAAUAAUAAAUACCAAAUGUCAAUUUCUCGAGCUGAUAUAAGUAGCGAAAAUCAUACAGGUCCUUGUGAUUGCGAAAGUCCUCUGGGACGCCAAAUACUUUCAACUUCUUUAAAUUGGGAAAUAGUCUAAAAAAAGACCCUGUACAAUACCGAGGAUUCAAUUGAUUGAGGCAUUGCAAACUUUUCAAAACCAAUCUGUUCUCUGUAGGCUCAUGACUCUGCAAGUAAUUCCAGCCCAUAUGCAGCUUCCUCAAUUGUGGCAUCGUCAAAAUUUCCGAUGGUAAUAUGAAAGGAUAACUACUAUUGGGAAAUGGAAGGUAAAGUUUAAAAGUUUGCAGAUAGCAUAGGCUUGAUAUCGAUAGAGGAAUGUCUAUUAUUGAUGAGGGAACAGCUUCUUUCGAUCCUCGAUACUGCUUUAAGCAAGGCUUAAAACACAAAGAUAGGUAUCUCAAAUGAAAUAGAGAAAGUACUCCACUGGGAAAAAAUGGGCAUAUAGUCAAACCAAGAUCUAGUACUCUUACUAGCUUGAAAGACAAUGCCAGUGUGACGCAUUUGAAUCCACCCAACAUGAUAAUAGAAUGAGCCUCACUGCUACAACACCAAACCAAUUUUUUCUCAUUAUGGAUUCUGAUCCGAUUUCGACUCUUAAAGGAACACUGCAUGGAUUGUUCACAUGAAUUUUGAUAACUCUUUCCUCUGAUAACAUUCACAAAAUUCAUGUUUCGAGCUUCCCUCAAACAGAGUUCACGGGUCACAUCAUGCAUUCCACAACUUUCUAUUGUUCCACGAAAACUAAAAUUGUGGAUGAAAAUUAAGCUUCUAUCUAUAAGUUCAUUUAUACAUGUUGUUGCCACCUCUUCUAUGCUUUUUCCCUCUUCUUCAUUCAAAAACCCCUCUACGGCCCAUAAUUCAACAAGUUUAUUUACAUAAAUCUGUUCAUCCUCUGCGAAAAUUGCAAAAUACAGAAAACACGGUUUUAGGUGAGAAGGCAAGUGAUGGUAACUCAAAGCCAACACUCUCAUGCACUUUGCUUCAAGAUCUGUGCUUACCACUGAACUUACAUUCUCCGCAACAUAUUGCCACACACCCAAUGUUUUACUGAUUUUGGAGAGAAGUCCAGCAAUCACAGUAAUUGCUAGAGGUAACCCUCCACAUUUUAAUGCAAUUUGUUUCCCAAUAUUUUCAAAUUCAGGAGAAUAAGAACCUUCUUUUUCAAAGAUCUUUUUGUGUAGUAAAUUCCAACUUUCGUCAAAAUUCAUGAGGCGCAUGUGAUGAGGAGGCUUACCUGACCUAGCACAUUCAGCCACUUCCACAUUCCGAGUAGUCAGGAGUAUUCUGCUUCCAUUAUAACAGUCUGGGAAACAUAGUUUUAUAUCAUCCCAAGCUUCUGUAGUCCAUAUGUCAUCAAUGACUACCAAGUAUCUCCUGCCUUUCAGAUGCUUCUGCAAUCGGUCCGCUAGCUGAUCAUCAGGUUCAUCACUUAUCGAAGGAAGAAGGCCUAGGAUUACAUUUCUCACACAAUACUCUUGUGAAACAGUUGCUUUUGCACGAAUAUCAAAUCGAGACAUAAUGUAAGGAUCACUAUAGAGUUUUGUAGCCAAAGUUGUUUUCCCGAUACCUCCCAUCCCUACGAUUGAGACAACUUCUAGUUCCCUUCCUCCUCUAGCAAGUUGAUCCAGCAUCAUCUCAAAUUCAUUUUCACGGCCAACCAUUAUAUUCUCGGGCUGCUCAACAGCAUGUUCAGGUAAACUGACAAGUGAGCUAGUUUGUGGUUUUAGAUCUUUCAUGCUGUCCGAUGCUGCCAUCCACUGUUUCACGGUGGAAGCAAUGCAUUCUAGUGCUUGUUCCAAGACGAAAAAAAUCUCCCACAUAGCCCUGCUUCUUUCCUCCAAAUUCUGUGCUAAAAAAACAUUUCUUGAUUCCGAGUCAACCAUAUCUUCUGUUGUGUAUGCUACCUCUGCGAUUUCAACUUCCAAGAUUGUUAACCCCUCAUGAUCGCCCAUUAUAUUGCAGGAUUUCUCCAGAAUAGCUCUCAAAGAUUUGAGCUUUUCAUAAAACGGUUGCAAAUCACAUCCAGUAAGUUCCAUUGAUUGAUGUAUGGUUCUCAUAAGGGAAGUAACAGCAGCAUAAGCCAUAUAUCCAAAAAAUAGAAAUAUCUCUCAGUAUGAAAAUGGACAAAUUGCCACAAGUUAUGUAAUUUUUCAGUUUUUAAGAAAACAGAAAAUGCAAAGUUCUUUCUUUUACUAGCUAUUUCCAUCACAUUUCCAGCUAGGUCCACCAACCUUAUCAUCAUGUAGACAAAAGCAGAGACCAAAGUUAAAAAAAAA